AUGUGCGUGCUUGGAAGCUACUCGUGUCUUGCAUGUUCGACAUUGGGCAUGCCGCAGUAUCCAGUGAAUCUUCUGGCUUGUUAUUAUGUGUAGCUAUAUGAACUUAGUCUGUUACCUGUGUCAAAUAAACUGUGUUUACAUUGUUUGCUGAACUGCUUGGGCCAUGGAUGAACGGUGUUGUGCAAAGUGUACAUGAUCCAGACUUGACUGUAUUUUAUUGGUUGAUUGUGGAAACUUGGUGCUGAAAUGCUCGUAGAUGCAGAUCUGAAAGUUUGUACUUUGGCACAGUAACUGAUAGGUCAUGCUGUUAAUUGAUCGAAAAAUAUGAGUGUUCUAAAUAACUGGUAUAGAAAUAUUGGCGAAUUAGAACUCUCCCGUGACAUAUUCAAAAGUAGGGUUGGAAUCCUAAAAUCAAACAAGUAGCUGCUGCCACAACUGACUACUCUGUGCCAGGGCUCUAGUGUUUUUACCUGAAGACCACGGGUUCUUUUUAUACCAUGAUACCCACUCCUAUGAGGCAAAAUUGACAAAUUUGAUCUAUGGACGAAAUCAAAUCACAGAAUGAACUGCCCGUAAAACUAUUUCACACGGCUGACCUUUUUGUGUGACGCCCGACACGAAGGCGCCACACUACACUGUGCAACGCCUCACAGAUAGGCGCUAUACGCCUGCCAGCGUCGCACCCGUGUGAUCCGAAAAUUACUAAGUCAGUGUGCAGCGCCUGAGAGCUAGGCGCCACACUAUACAGUGUAGCGCCUAGCUUCUAGGCGUUGCACUAGUGGUUGCUUCAUUUUGUAGUGCAACCACUAGUGCAGCGCCUGAGAGCUAGGCGCCACACUAUACGGUGCAGCGUCUAGCUCUUAGGCUCUGCACAAUGACUUAGCAAUUUUUAGGCAGUCUGGGGUGCAACGCUGGCCAGGCGUGUAGCGCCUAUCUGUGAGGCGUUGCACAGUGUAGUGUGACGCCUUCGUGUCGGGCGUCACAUAAAAAGUCAGCCGCGUGAAAUAGUUUCACGGACAGUUCAUUCUGUGAUUUGAUUUCGUCCACAGGUCAAUUUUGUCAAAUUUGCUCUCCUAUGAGGCUAUGACAGAGCAUAGAUUUCUUAGGAAAAGAACUUUAUGGGCUGUAAUCCUGCAGACCAAACAAUCGAUUGCUGCCAUGACUACUCGGUGCCAAGGCUAUAGGUUUUUUACACAAUAGGUAGAUGAUUAUACACUGUAGUUUUUUGUUUACCUUAUACUAUACACUACUUUUUACCCUAAAAUAAACAGUUGUACACUAUAAACAUCAAUGAAGAUACAGCUUAUAUGCUCUAGAGCAUUCUACUAAGAUUGUUAAGGAUAUAUACUGAAAAAUAGACACUGACUUGUAUAAAUACAUUACAGUACAUAUAAGUUCCACAAACUAGAAAACAAUUCAAUGAAUGUUUCAAACUGAAUUGUAAAAAAAAAAACAUCUCUAUGAGAAAAUCAAAAUCUAUCACAAGCUAGAAACCAAUUCAAUGAAAUCUAUCGCAAACUAGAAAACAUCUCUUUCUCCAACUUCAUAUAAAGGAGUUUGGCGUCUCAAGAAAGCCGGUUUGUCUCAAAUUUGCCGUCAGAUUGUAGUUAGCCCGCGUAUAUUGAGAUUGACAAAGCCUGACGUAAUCAUCAAGGCACUUAUCCAGGUGUUCAUCAUUUGUUCUUGCACUCUCCAAAGAGGAACCAAUGGUUCCGAUCAGGUGAUCACAAAGGCAUAGGCUCUUCAUUCUACCUGUCAUCCACAAAGGGUUCUGUCGUGGAAUUGUCACGGCAGAUGUCCUCAAGCUAGGACUUAGUCGUGGAGCCAUCGCCGCUAGGAAGCUUGAAGGGGUUAACGGGACAAGGAACACGAGGGUUUAUACUGGUUCGGCCCCUUACGGUGAAGGUAAAAGCCUACGUCCAGUUGAGGUGGUAUUGAUUAGGGUUUCGAUGACCAGGGAGCUUAACUGCUAUGCCUGGCUCUCGAUGAGAUCUUUCUUGUCCCUAAACCGCUGCCGGGUCGUCCCUUUAUAUAGAGAGGUUGACGCCCAGCGGCUCUCAGAGUCCCGGUCGGCUUAUAAAAGUGUCCGGCUCGGACUCUCAACUAUUCUUGCCUUACACUACAAGUCUCGCCAUACGGCGGUUUAUCACUACGGGCCUUAAACCAUCUCCGGGUCUUAAGCCCAUCUUUGGCCCACCGUCUUCAGGCUUAGCACCCGGCUUCAAGUGAUGACCCUUAUGAGUAACCCGGCCCCUUCUGGCGGGUGACUCUAAGGUUUAUAUCCUCAACAUUAGGCCCCAGAUUGAUUUGAGCCGGCUCAUGUCAAUCUUCAAUUCUUUCGACAGAAAAUCUUCGGCUUAUAAUUGUGUGAAGGCCAUAACCCGGCGUGACGUCAUCCUCUGGACUCCGGGUAAUCCGCCGUGACGUCAUCUUCCAUUAAGUCCAUUUUUUACUCCACCAGAUCCGCAACGGAUCUUAUCUUUACUGCCAUCCCAAAAAUCGAGGCGCCUCUCGGGCGAGAUAACCGCGCCGUGGCCUCCUCGUUUCUCGCGCCCACUUAUGAGACUGGCCUUAUAAAUAGCCCGACCCUCGGGUCUUUCUCAUUCUCCCUCUUCUGUCGCCUCCUUCCUCUCACUGCCCCCGUGCUGCUCGAGCUUCGCCGCCGCCGCCGCCGCAACAGAGCUCCGCGUCCUCGUCGUCCUUGGCCGCUGCAUCACCCUGAACCGUCCAGAGAACCGCGGCGAACCCCUGCAUCCGUAAGUUCCUUCCUCCUCGUAGGAUAGAUCUGCGUUAAGCUCCUGUUGUUCUUCCCGUGUUCUUCGCCGUCGUUCGCGAGUUCUUGGUAGUUUUUAUUUUUACUGCCUUUCUUGAUCUCUAUCUGCAUAGGACGGCUGCGGUAGUGGUUUCACACCCAUUCCAAUGUUCAUAGAUCCCUUUCUACUGCAUAGAAGUCCCAUUUGAACCUGCGAACUUUCUCCUGCAUCUGUUUUAGGUCUAGAAAUUUUCUUUUUAGCCGACCAUUUUGAUCCAAAUUAUUUACUGCAAUGUGUGAAACCUGUUUUCACCACACUUAGUAAAAAACUGCACUCGUUGAGUCAUGGCGGUUUACAUUUGCGGUUUAAAGAAACCACGCGCCGUAGAAUUUUCCGGCUCACUUACAACAAGGCUGUAGACGAUUUAAAUUACUCUCAAGCACACCAGCGGCUUAGAUAACCCGAUGCACUUAGAUAUAUGUCAUUAGGCCCCUCCAUAAGCCGCCACUUUAAACACUGAACUGUAAAUUUCCUCCGGCUUACAAUUAAACCGGACAUUUUACUUUUAUCAUAGGCGUCCGACUUUCACCAUGCCUCCCAAAGCUCCCAAAGCUCCCAUCACAUGCAAUUGGAUGAGGUCCAAUGUCACCGAUGAGACUUUAACAGAUUUCAUGAAGUCGGGUUACCUGCCUAAGAAGGACGUCAUGUCCUACCGUGCCCCCGACCCAUCAGAGGAGAGACCACAGCCAAGGGACGGGGAGGUGGUCAUUUUUGCGGAUCACAUGAGCCGGGGCUUUGCACCGCCCGGCUCAAAGUUCUUUAGAGACGUGCUGAAUUUCUUUGACCUGCGGCCACAAGACAUAGGACCCAAUUCUGUGUCCAAUAUAUGCAACUUCCAAGUGUUCUACGAAGUCUACCUUGGAGAGGAGCCCAGCCUGCUGCUCUUCAGAGAGCUCUUCUACCUGAACAGUCAGAACGAGUGCGCCAACGGGCCAAGCUUGGAACUUGGCGGCAUCUCCAUUCAGCGACGGAGAGACUGCCUUUUCCCUUACGCCGAGCCGCCGAGUCACCCAAAGGACUGGAACCAGACGUGGUUCUAUUGCCAAGACACGUCGCCGGCUGACGAGAGCCCGCUGCCCGGCUUUCGCCCUUCACGUCUGGAACCAACUCACCCUCUGUCUGACAAGUUAACUCAGGCGGAGCGCCAACCUCUGCUCCCCACCAUCAACAAGAUCAAGGCUCUCCUGGGCAAUGGUCUCAACGGAAUUGAUCUGGUCCGGGUCUGGAUCUCGUGGCGGGUGAUCCCCCUGAGCUGCCGCCCCGGCUUAAUGUGUGAAUACACAGGCCGGAAAGAUGACCCCCCGCGACACAGCCGCAACGAUCUUCCUGAAGACGUUGCUGAAGACAUGACCAAGGCCCUUUUAAAUGAGAGCUUGGCAGACUGCGGGAGGACCGGGUUAGCCCCCUUCUGCAAGACCAACCCAGCCCCAGCAGUAAGCCGCUGAUCUGAACAUCUUAUCUUCUUCUGUAGAUAACCUUCAUCUGAAUCUUUAAGAAAUCAUCAUUGUAUUUUUCAGGCUGAUGACAAAUUCUGGAAGGUCAAAUAUGACCAUGAGGCGGCCAAGAAGGCCAGGAAGGCUAAGAAAGCCGCCAAGAGAGCUGGUCCCCGUAAGAAGGGAAGUAGGCCUACUGCUUCAGAGCUGCUGCAACUAAGCGACAGCUCCGAGUCAGUGGUAACCCCUGAACCUGUAAGCUCUUGUUGUAUUUGUUGUUCAUUUCUGUCCACCUUAUCAAUACUGUUCAUCAACAGGAUGACACCGGAGCAAGUAACCCGGUGGUUGAAGAGGUAAUGACACGUUCCUCCGACUCGGAGCCCUUGCCAAGGCUGAAAGUCCGAAGGGUAACCCGGAAAGUAAGAUUUUCUCAUCCUUUAGCUUAUCAAGAUCCUCAAUUUCUUUUGAAGCAACAGACUCAUGAGAGCCGGCGGCACACCCGGACCAACAAGGACGCUGACCUCUCCUCCGGCUUACCCGACGCAUCGAGGAAACGCCGAACCGAGGUUAUCUCCAACUUGUACCCUUUUCAUCCUUUGGCGGGUGUUAUACGUCAACCGCUCAAUUCUUCUGAUUCAAACUAUCAGGAAACCUCACCCUCCUCUGGUGACUCGAUGCAAUCAAGCCUGCCGGCCUUCAAGACCGUACCCGGGUAAUGAUGAUCAUCUCUUGUUGUGCUUAUCUUUGCUCAUACCUUUGUACUAACCUUUUUGUCCUUUCAGUGCCCAGGCAAAGCUCACCAAGAGGGCGAAGAAGAAUAAGCCGGUCGAAGAGCCGGACUUGCCUGAACCGGAGGUAGCAGCUCAAGAACCGCCAGCUGCCUCCGCUCCCGAAGCACCGCUCCAACCGACAAGGCAACUGCAGAAGCUUCUGCUAACCCGGAGACCUCUAGCUCGGCUCAGCCGGUCAAUGACCCGGACGUGGUAAUCACCCGGACAGAGUUUGUUGAGCCGAGGAGACCUACUGCACUGGCCAAGUGCUCCGCCAAGGAGGAGUUGCUACAGCACCGCCGGGUUAAUCUGGACCUCACCGACCACGCCAAUCUGAACACUGGAGAGAUCGUCUCCGGCUAUGUCAACCAAGUGCACAAGAGCCGGGAUGUAGAGAUCGGCAUGGUGAACCAGAUUCAGCAGAAGUCUGAGGUACUACUCUUCUUUCUUCUUGCUUACUGCAUGGUUAUCUUGUUAUUCUUACCAUACUCUAGCCCCCAAGUCUACGACUUAUGAUAGAAUAUGUUGUAGACUUAAGUUCCGGCUUACUCGCUUGAACCGGCAAUUUGUAAAUAGAAACGUUCGAUAUGCAUUAGCCCCCAAGUGCCAAGUGUCUUUGCUUGGAAAGUGCUUGGGACAUUAAAAUUGCAUAAUAACUGUUCAUCCUAUAACCCGAAAAUUAUGCAGGCUGCUUGCAAGAAGUUUGAAGCUGACAUCUCCGAUCUGAAGACCCGCCUGAGGACGCAAGAAACUUGUUGGAAAUAUGCCCUAGAGGCAAUAAUAAAUGGUUAUUAUUAUAUUUCUGUGUUCAUGAUAAUAGUCUUUUAUUCAUGCUAUAAUUGUAUUGUCCGGAAAUCGUAAUACAUGUGUGAAUACAUAGACCACAACCUGUCCCUAGUAAGCCUCUAGUUGACUAGCUCGUUGAUCAACAGAUAGUCAUGGUUUCCUGACUAUGGACAUAGGAUGUCAUUGAUAACGGGAUCACAUCAUUAGGAGAAUGAUGUGAUGGACAAGACCCAACUUAAGCAUAGCAUAAAAGAUCGUGUAGUUUCGUUUGCUAGAGCUUUUCCAAUGUCAAGUAUCUUUUCCUUAGACCAUGAGAUCGUGCAACUCCCGGAUACCGUAGGAGUGCUUUGGGUGUGCCAAACGUCACAACGUAACUGGGUGACUAUAAAGGUGCAUUACGGGUAUCUCCGAAAGUGUNNNNNNNNNNNNNNNNNNNNNNNNNNNNNNNNNNNNNNNNNNNNNNNNNNNNNNNNNNNNNNNNNNNNNNNNNNNNNNNNNNNNNNNNNNNNNNNNNNNNGGGGGGGAGGGAGGGCAGCAAACACACAGCCUUUGGCGCCUCCCUCCUCCCCUGCAACACCUCUCUCUCGCGCGCAGAAGCUCGGCGAAGCCCUGCCAGAGAGCCGCUACAUCCACCACCACGCCGUCGUGCUGUUGGAUCUCCAUCAACCUCUCCUCCCCCCUUGCUGGAUCAAGAAAGGAGGAGACGUCGCUGCACCGUACGUGUGUUGAACGCGGAGGUGCCGUCCGUUCGGCACUCGGUCAUCGGUGAUUUGGAUCACGGCGAGUACGACUCCGUCAUCCACGUUCAUUGGAACGCUUCCGCUCGCGAUCUACAAGGGUAUGUAGAUCCACUCCUUUCCCCUCGUUGCUAGUAGACUCCAUAGAUGCAUCUUGGUGAGCGUAGGAAAAUUUUAAAUUAUGCUACGAUUCCCAACAAAACUGAGACCCGGAAGGCCAAUGCCAAAUUUGUGUCCAGUAUUGCUGCGCAAGAAAAGCUGAAGACGGACUUUGACGCUGAACGGAAAGCUUGGGCCGAAGAAAAGGCUACUCUGGUGAACCGGGCCGAACAGGCGGAGAAGGCUCUGACAGAGAAGACCGCCGAACUCUCCGGCUUAAAGCGCCAAGUGUCCCAGAUGGUUGCCGCAAUCUUCGGUAAGUCAUUUCACCGGCUUUCAUUAAGUUUAUAAUCUUUAUAUCUCAUAACUCAUCCUUGUCGGCGGCUUAUCUUAUUCUGUUAAACAGGUCCCAGAAGCGCCAACCUCAACCAAAGUGUGGUAACCAAAUUGAAGGCCGUGUACACCCUGGUGGAGCAACUCUACACCAGGUCACAGCGUGCCUUGGCUGUGGUGGCCCUAUCCAAUGAGGUGCCGACUCACCUGGCGGAAGUUCUUCGCCGGCUCGCCGUUCUUCCUCAACGUGUCCAAGAGCUGCGACGGGCCUCUGCAAGAGCCGGAGCCAUAGCUGCUCUGAGCCGGGCCAAGGCGUUCCUUCUAGAACUAGACCUGGCGGACAUCGCUCUGGGCUACCCCAGUUUGAAGGAAGACGGCACCCCCUUCGACCAAAGGGACUUUGCAGCCUGCGUGAAGAUCGUACGCCCUGUGGCCACUCUGAUUGGCAAUGACACGGAUCUGACUAAGUACCAGCCGGGUUACGAUUCAGAGAAUCAGAGGAUCCCCACUCCGCGCUAUGAAGCCAUCAGCUUAGUCCCGCCGACUCGGAAGCACACCUUUGCCCCGGAGAUUGACCCGGCCGGGCUAAUUGACGAGGAAGCUCAAUUUGAAGCUCUGAGCGGCAUUGACUGGAAGUCGUCAACUUUCCAGGUCUUGGGAACAGCCGGAGGAGCGGAGAGGGAUGAGCCGGAAACUUCAACCCAACAAGCAUCGUAACUCUGCAGGCGGCUUAUUAAACAAUGCUUCACCCUUUUGGACUCGAUGAGUCUUGUAAUAGAGUAGGACCAACACUUUAACUUUGCCGUGCCAUCGUGCACGCGUUGAAUGCUGAAUUCCAUUGAAGUUGUCUCCUUUAUACUUCUCCGGGUCAUAAUUGAUCAUUCAUUUUCCUUAAGCUCAAAUAGUUGCCUUUAACUAUCCUGCCUAGAAGGACAAAUCACAAGUCUCUAGGCGGCUCACCGCACUGAGAAUCAUAGUUUUAGACAUAUAACCCGGAAUAUGAAUCAAAAAAGACUGGCCCUCAAUUAUGUCCUUGAUAUACCCGUAAUAACACACUUACCGGCCUGCAAGCACACUUCCGGCUGAUAUAACCCGGGUAAUAAGGUUGGUACCUCAAUUCCGGUUUACCAGUCUUAAUAACACCGAUUGUAUUCGACUAGUACUAUAAAUCAAAGUUAAGCCGGCAAAGUGAGACCCGCCGUGCACACUUGAAAAUAUCAGAAGAACUCGCUAUAAAUCAGAAGAACUUAGGGGCUUCCGGUUCGAAUACGACUAGAGACCCGUCCCAAAGGGGUUAUGCUAGGAUUCGAAUGCGAUCAUAUAGCCCCCAGUGGGUGUGGCGAUGCCAAUCAAGAGGGUACCGACAGCUAUGUUCUCUUUGGUUCGAAUACGACCCAUGUUUGAACAGGAAGCCCCCAAAUGACCUUAAGAAUUGUUUAACGACGCUGAUUCGAAUACGAUCCACGUCGGUUCCCAAAGAGGUUAAACUAUGAUUCAAAUAUGAUCAAAGAAAACUCCCCAAUGAGCUCGGCACUUUGCCAAUCAAAUGGGUAUCGACAGCUAUGUUCUCUUUGGUUCGAAUACGACCUAUAUUUGAACAGGAAGCCCCCAAGUGACUAUAUUGUGUAUGGCUAGAUUCGAAUACGAUCAUAAGCCGGAUCCUCCUUCAAGUUAUCACAUGAUCUUGUAAUGAAAACAACACAUUCAUCCUUGGAGGAGAAAAAAGGACAGAGGUCCUGCUUUAUUGCUUAUCAUAAUAUAUACAUGGCUUAGAGAAAUAUGUACAUUAUGAGAGCCGGUGGCUCAAGUGUAAUAAGGCCGAAGCUGAGCUAUGUUCCACGGCCGACGGGUCUCUUCCUCCGACUUACGUGAAUCUUUGUGCUCCCGAACGUCAAUGAGGUAAUAUGACCCGUUGUGCAAAUUCUUGCUGACUACAAAGGGCCCUUCCCAAGGCGGGGAUAGCUUAUGCGCAUCUGUUUGAUCUUGGAUGAGCCGGAGCACCAGAUCGCCUUCCUGGAAGACCCGGGAUUUAACCCGGCGACUAUGAUAACGGCGCAGGUCCUGUUGGUAAAUCGCUGAGCGAGCUGCUGCCACAUCACGCUGUUCGUCCAAUAAGUCAAGAGCAUAUUGGUGCGCCUGUUCAUUAUCCACCUCAACAUAAGCCGCCACUCGAGGCGAAUCAUGACGGAUGUCACUGGGGAGGACUGCUUCUGCUCCAUAAACCAUGAAGAAAGGCGUGAAACCUGUAGACCUGUUAGGAGUAGUGUUGAUGCUCCACAACACGGAGGGUAACUCCUCCACCCAACAACCCGGCGUCCGUUGUAAAGGGACCAAAAGCCGGGGUUUGAUGCCUUUCAGAAUCUCCUGAUUAGCCCUCUCAGCUUGACCAUUGGACUGAGGGUGAGCCACUGAUGAAACAUCAAGUCUAAUAUGCUCUCGUUGACAAAACUCCUCCAUGGCGCCUUUGGAUAAAUUGGUACCAUUGUCAGUUAUAAUGCUGUGUGGAAAGCCAAAGCGAAAGAUCACCUUUUUCAUAAACUGAACUGCCGUGGUUGCAUCACACUUGCUAACUGGCUCCGCUUCAACCCACUUGGUAAAUUUGUCAACUGCCACCAAGAGGUGGGUCUUCUUAUCCUUGGACCUUUUAAAAGGCCCAACCAUAUCAAGCCCCCAGACCGCAAAGGGCCAAGUAAUUGGGAUCAUCCUCAGCUCCUGAGCCGGCACAUGAGCCCGUCGCGAGAACCUUUGGCAACCAUCACAUUUACUGACCAAGUCCUCCGCAUCAGCAUGAGCCGUCAGCCAAUAAAAACCAUGACGAAAAGCCUUGGCCACAAGAGACUUUGAGCCGGCGUGAUGGCCACAAUCCCCUUCAUGAAUCUCACGCAAGAUCUCUUGACCUUCCUCAGGGGAGACACAACGCUGGAACACUCCCGUAACACUGCGGCGAUGCAACUCACCAUUAAUAACAAUCAUUGACUUAGACCGCCGGGUUAUUUGUCUGGCCAAAGUUUCAUCCUCAGGCAAAUCUCCCCGGGUCAUGUAAGCCAGAUAGGGCAUUGCCCAGUCCGGUAUGAUGUGGAGAGCCGCCACCAGUCGUGCCACCGGGUCAGGGACAACCAAGUCUUCCUCUGUAGGCAACUUAACAGAAGGGUUAUGCAGGACGUCCAGGAAAACAUUAGGCGGCACCGGUUUUCGCUGAGAACCCAGCCGGCUUAAAGCAUCAGCCGCCUCGUUCUUCCUGCGAUCGAUGUGCUCUACUUGGUAACCCUGAAAGUGCCCAGCAAUGGCAUCAACUUCGCGGCGAUAAGCCGCCAUGAGAGGGUCCUUGGAGUCCCACUUUCCUGAUACUUGUUGAGCCACCAAGUCUGAGUCGCCGAAGCACCUUACCCGGCUCAAGCUCAUCUCCUUAGCCAUCCGAAGACCGUGGAGCAAGGCCUCGUACUCAGCUGCGUUAUUGGUACAAGGAAACAUCAAUUGUAGCACAUAAUGGAACUUAUCACCCUUAGGGGAAGCCAAUACGACUCCAGCCCCCGAGCCCUCCAACUGCCUGGACCCAUCAAAGUGAAUAGUCCAAUAUGUGUUAUCCGGCUUUUGUUCGGGCACUUGUAGCUCUAUCCAAUCAUUGAUGAAAUCCACCAAAGCCUGAGAUUUAACAGCAGUGCGUGGCACAUACUUCAGACCAUGAGGUCCGAGCUCUAUAGCCCACUUAGCCACUCUCCCUGUGGCCUCCCUGUUCUGAAUGAUAUCUCCAAGGGGGGCAGAACUGACCACAGUGAUGGGGUGACCCUGGAAAUAAUGCUUAAGCUUCCGGCUUUCCAUGAACACACCAUAAACAAGUUUCUGCCAAUGCGGAUACCGCUGCUUGGACUCAAUGAGUACUUCGCUGACAUAAUAAACCGGCCUCUGAACCGGAUGCUCCUUACCCUCUUCCUUGCGCUCCACCACCACGGCCACACUGACGGCUCGGGUGUUAGCAGCCACAUACAGCAAUAAAGGCUCCUUGUCAACCGGAGCAGCAAGGACUGGGGGCUUGGCCAGCUGUCUCUUUAAAUCCUCAAAAGCAGUAUUAGCUGCAUCAUUCCAGACAAAGUCAUCAGUUUUCUUCAUCAACUGAUACAACGGCAUGGCCUUCUCACCCAAACGGCUUAUGAACCGGCUUAAAGCAGCGAUACGACCCGCCAAGCGCUGGACGUCGUUUAUACACGCCGGCUUAGCCAGGGAGGUGAUGGCCUUGAUCUUCUCCGGGUUAGCUUCAAUGCCUCUGUUAGAAACCAAGAAACCCAAGAGCUUGCCUGCAGGAACACCAAAAACACAUUUGGCCGGGUUAAGCAUCAUCUUGUAGACCCGGAGAUUAUCAAAGGUUUCCCUUAGAUCAUCUAUCAAGGUUUCCUCCUUCCUGGAUUUAACCACAAUAUCAUCCACAUAAGCAUGAACAUUGCGCCCAAUCUGGUUAUGAAGACAGUUCUGCACGCAACGCUGAUAAGUCGCCUGUGCACUCUUGAGUCCAAAGGGCAUAGACACAUAGCAGAAGGCUCCAAAGGGAGUGAUGAACGCCGUCUUCUCCUGGUCCUUAACUGCCAUUUUAAUCUGAUGAUAUCCAGAAUAAGCAUCCAAGAAACUUAGGCGCUCACAACCCGCCGUAGCAUCAAUGAUUUGAUCAAUACGGGGAAGGGCGAAAGGAUCAGCCGGACACGCCUUGUUCAAGUCCGUGUAGUCCACACACAUCCGCCAGGUGCCGUUCUUCUUGAGUACGAGCACCGGGUUAGCUAACCAUUCUGGGUGAAAGACUUCAACGAUAAACCCAGCCGCCAAGAGCCGGGCCACCUCUUCACCAAUAGCUUUCCGCCUCUCUUCAUUAAACCGCCGAAGGAACUGCCUGACCGGCUUAAAUUUCGGAUCAACAUUGAGAGUGUGCUCAGCGAGUUCUCUAGGUACACCUGGCAUGUCAGACGGCUUCCAUGCAAAAAUGUCCCUAUUCUCACGGAUGAACUCGAUGAGCGCGCUUUCCUAUUUUGGAUCCAGAUUGGCACUGAUGCUAAACUGCUGAGAUGAAUCUCCUGGAACGAAAUCAACAAGUUUAGUCUCAUCAGCCGACUUAAAUUUCAUUGCCGGCUCAUGCUCCGUAGUCGGCUUUUUCAGAGAGGUCAUAUCUGUCGGGUCAACGUUGUCUUUGUAAAACUUCAACUCCUCUGUUGCGCAAACAGAUUCUGCAUAAGCUACAUCGCCUUCCUCACACUCCAGGGCCACCUUCCGGCUGCCGUGAACCGUAAUGGUCCCAUUAUGACCCGACAUCUUGAGCUGUAAAUACACGUAACACGGCUGUGCCAUGAACUUGGCGUAAGACGGCCGCCCAAAUAUGGCAUGGUACGGACUUCUUAUCUUGACCACCUCAAAGGUCAAUUUUUCCACCCUGUAGUUGUGGUCAUCUCCAAAGGCCACUUCCAACUCGAUCUUGCCGACUGGAUAAGCCGACUUACCAGGUACCACACCAUGGAAAAUAGUGUUUGACUGGCUGAGGUUCUUAUCAAUCAACCCCAUACGACGGAACGUCUCAUAAUAGAGGAUGUUGAUGCUGCUGCCUCCAUCCAUGAGCACCUUAGUGAACUUAUAUCCUCCCACCUGAGGAGCCACCACCAAGGCCAAGUGACCCGGAUUAUCCAUCCGGGGAGGGUGAUCCUCCCUACUCCACACUAUAGGCUGCUCAGACCACCGCAAGUAGCGUGGAACCGCCGGCUCAACAGCAUUCACAGCCCUCUUAUGAAGCUUCUGAUCUCGCUUACACAGACUGGUGGUAAACACAUGAUACUGUCCACCGCUAAGCUGCUUUGGAUUGGUCUGAUAACCCCCCUGCUGCUGUUGAUGACCCUGGCCAGACUGCUGAUUAAAGCCCCCUUGACCGUUCUGAGGAUUAGAAUUUGAGCCGCCGCCCGGGCCAUGAAAGCCGCCGGCGCCUGAGCCACCGCCCGGGCUAUUGUUGCCGUUAAAGGCGUUGGAAUUCUUAAAGGCCUUCAUGAUUGCACAAUCCUUCCAUAGAUGAGUAGCUGGCUUCUCUCUAGAGCCAUGCCUUGGACAAGGCUCAUUCAACAGCUGCUCCAGCGUCGGGCCUGACUCGCCGGCUCGGGGAGGGGGCCUCCCCUUGCGUCGCUGGUUAUUACCCUGUGAGCUGGCGUUGGCUACGAAUUCUAGGCUGCCAUCGGCCUUGCGCUUGCCACCUCCUUGGUUCCCCGGGUUAUGCUGAGGACCCUUGCCAUUGCCGUUCUUCUUUCCCUUCCCUGUCCUUUCAUCAUCUGAAGCGGGGUCCUUGGUACUAUCAGAAUCGGCGUACUUGACGAGAGCCGCCAUCAGUGUACCCAUAUCACUGCAGUCGCGCUUAAGCCGCCCGAGUUUCAUCUUCAGGGGCACGAAACGACAAUUCUGUUCCAACAUUAAGACUGCAGAGCCGGCAUCCAUCUUAUCAGAGGAAUGUAUUAUCUCCUUAACCCGGCGAACCCAAUGUGUCGUAGACUCACCCUCCUGCUGCUUACAGUUAGUCAAAUCCACAAUUGACAUAGACUGCCUACAGGUAUCCUUGAAGUUUUGGAUGAAUCGGGCUUUCAGCUCAGCCCAAGACCCGAUGGAAUUCGGUGGUAGCCCUUUCAACCAAGUGCGGGCAGUCCCAUCUAACAUCAUGGUGAAGUACUUGGCCAUUGCCGCUUCACUGACUUCCAGCAGUUCCAUGGCCAUCUCGUAACUCUCGAUCCAGGCUGCGGGUUGUAAGUCAGCCGUGUAAUUAGGCACCUUCCUAGGGCCUUUGAAGUCCUUGGGUAGACGUUCAUUGCGGAGAGCUGGCACUAAGCAAGGGACACCUCCAGUCCUGGUAGGGAUAUCCACGUCGACGGAAGUCGUCGGAUAAGCCGGGGGAGUCUGGUAAGCCGUCAACUGAGGCACCUGCUCCGCCUCUUGCCGCGCUCUGUCUUGGUCUGCUGCGUGAAAGGCUCCGUUAUGAACCGGGCCAUGGCCAGGGGGCGGGUCAUGGCGUCGGACAUUACUUGAGCCGGUCGCUGAGACCAUGUGUCUGCUAUAACUCGGGCUCCGGCCUGGACGAGGGGUCGAGUGGAUCCUGUCCCGGCUGUAAGAGUAUGCCUCUUGCUGCGCCAGUGCUGUCUGAAGGAGUUCCCUGACCCGGAGGGUUUCAAUAGCCGUCGGAGAGUCGCCAUCAAUUGGGAGGGCCGCCAGCCGUGCUGCUGCGGCAACCAUGUUCUCCAGCGGGUUAGCAUAAUGACCCGGUGGUAUUGGCACAUACUGAGGCGGGGCAGGGUUCACCCGGGGAGGCCCCAUCACUUGUGGCUGAACAGGGGUCCCCGACCCGGGCACUAUGAUCCCUGGCGGGUUACUAGACCCUGCACCUGGCGUGUUGAAGAGGUUUCGAGGAUCGUAAACCGGAGGGAGUCGAGAUUGGGCUUUUUGAUGCCUCCUUCUCAUGACCUCAUUGGACGCAUUUUGAUCCAUCGUGAGCCGGAAGGACUGCGCCUGAAUCAACUGGGUUUGGGCGUCGAGAGCCGCCCUCUCCGCAGCCAUCCUAAUCCCUUCCGCUGCCAGAUCCUCUUUGGCUUUCCCUAGAUCUAACUUUAACUGCGCCACCUCUGCGUCAUGCUGAGCUUGAUCCGCUGGGUCAACCGCGGCGGUCAACAGGGCCGUCAUCUUGUCCGUGAGAUCCAUCAGCACCUGAGCCGGCGAGGGCACCGGGUUUCGUGCCCCAGCAGCAGGGUUCUGAACAGGCUGCGCACCAGCCAUGAAGAUUCCGACCCGGCUCGGCGGCUCAAACGGGUCCGGAAUACUGUCACCAUCGGGACAACUCAUGAGCCUACCAUCUUGAAGUUGAUACAACGAGUUUGACUCAUCUGUGGACGACUCGCCGUCAGAGCGGGCGGCCGUCUCAUCACUAGAUCCAGACCUGUCAGAGUGCCCUCCAUGAACACAUCCCACAAAAGUAUGCCUCAAGGCAGGCAGGGCCCGGGCGGGUUGUGCGCGCUGAGCCGUCUCGAUGAGAUCGGCGCAGAGAUCCGGCUCAGGGCCCGGCUCACCAAUCUUGCCAAUGAAAACAUGAAUUCCGCCGAAGGGGACCCGGUAUCCGCACUCGAUUGAGCCGGCGUCGGGGCCCCAGCUUGCAUCGUCGAUGUAGAGCUUGCCGCGACGACUCUUGGUCAUCCGGCCCACAGCGUAUCCCUUGAGCCCUUCGAAGCUGCCCUUCAAGAACUCAAAUCCACCGUGCGCUGGCCCCACGGUGGGCGCCAACUGUCGUGGAAUUGUCACGGCAGAUGUCCUCAAGCUAGGACUUAGUCGUGGAGCCAUCGCCGCUAGGAAGCUUGAAGGGGUUAACGGAACAAGGAACACGAGGGUUUAUACUGGUUCGGCCCCUUACGGUGAAGGUAAAAGCCUACGUCCAGUUGAGGUGGUAUUGAUUAGGGUUUCGAUGACCAGGGAGCUUAACUGCUAUGCCUGGCUCUCGAUGAGAUCUUUCUUGUCCCUAAACCGCUGCCGUGUCGUCCCUUUAUAUAGAGAGGUUGACGCCCAGCGGCUCUCAGAGUCCCGGCCGGCUUACGGCGGUUUAUCACUACGGGCCUUAAACCAUCUCCGUGUCUUAAGCCCAUCUUUGGCCCACCGUCUUCAGGCUUAGCACCCGGCUUCAAGUGAUGACCCUUAUGAGUAACCCGGCCCCUUCUGGCGGGUGACUCUAAGGUUUAUAUCCUCAACAGGUUCUACCUGUGAUGAUGUUUGAUACUUCUGCCAAAUUUUGUUUUAUUGCUUCUGACAAUCUGUACUUCUGCGACUGGAUUAGAUACAUACUACCUCCGUACUGGCUGCACAAAUGUGAAGUCAUCAUUUCUAGUUGUAUAUAAAUCUGAGCGAAACCUUUCUGUCUAAAAUCUUAGAGAGUUCUCACAAAGUUUCAUAAACAACUGAGAGCCUGCUUAAAAGAUGAAAUUUCACAAGAAUUGGUUCAUUGCCCUCAGCGUUAGAACUGUUUGACACAACUGAAAAGGGCAAAAAAUCAGGCACCCACAGACACCUCAUCUCCUAGUUGCUUCGAUAGCAUAGGUUGGGCGAUAAGUUCAUCCAAAAGCUUGAAGUUGUGCUCAUCUCAGUUGUUUGUCAGUGCCUUCAUAUUCGGCUUGUUUCUAGUCCGCGGGCGAAACAAGACGAUGAAGAGCCAGAACAAGGUCCAGUAUGUAACCUUCGGCCCUCUCCUUGUCGGCGUAGUAGAGCGUCUCUACCUUGCUCACUUUGGCAUCUGCAUGGGCGAGCAUGUAACUGACACUGAUCCGACUUUCUUGUUCGAGCCAGUUUGCUUCGUUGACAUCGAUACCCUCAAUCCUGAUACAGCGAAUUAAGUCAUGGGAGCCUGAUAGGACAUUGCAGUUUAUGUAUCUAUUUGCAUGAGAAAAAGGUAGAAACAAGACGAGCAGGCGAUUAUACGCUACAUACCCUUUCAUCUCCCAUUCUCCGAAUACCCCAUUCACGUGGUACCGCCUGGUAUUCAUCAAGAAGGCAACAGAGUGAACCGAGAGUAUAUCAUUAAGAAAAAGAUAUCCACAUCUAGCUAUCUGUGCAGUACUAUUAAAAGUAGUGGUGUUUUGUUAACUUGCAGGAAGUACCUGGUGGAUUCCGCAGCUGGCACAAGCCAUCGCAAUACUCUGUUCAUUUCAGCUCUCACCGCUGCUCGCGUCAUGGUCUGCAAGAUGCAGAUGCAACCGAGAUGACAAGGGAUGGAUUCACUAUUUUAUACAGGUUAUGUUUGCUUAAAAGGGUGUUGGACUUACCUGAUCUUUGUCCGGAAUACGCAGCUGGGUGCGCAGAACUGGCUUAAUCCCAGGAGGCAGUGCUUGGUAUAAUGCCUCCCCCGCAUUUUGAGGAACCGCCGGUGAUGCCAAUGCCUGACAGUGGGAUAUGUAGUCAUUAACACAUAACAAGAGUCUAUGAUUGGUUGGGGAGAGGGUUACAUCACAUCUGGAUUUGGAAUGCUAAGCUCUUCAUGUGACAACUUUUCCAGGAUGCAAUUUCUGUGUGUGUUUUCUUUACAGUGACAAAAGCUUUGCCAAAUUUUACUGAAUAAGGAGUUUAUGAAUAAUGUGGAAUCAGUUCAUCAUAUGUUCUUUGGUUGUGGGGCGGUGAAAGUGGUUUGGGGAGUUGAACUUCAUGUACCCUAAUCCUUUGUGGCAACAAUUUCUCGGAUGCAUGCUUAGAUUUUACACAGCUGCUUUGGAAAAGGAGCAGAAUCUGUUUUGAAACUUCUGUUGUAGGAUCCUUAGUUUCGAUGUUCAAGUUGGUGUCACAAUUACUGCCAUAUAAUAAACUUCUGUUGUGAUUUUCAACUUUAUAUAAUACUACUGAGUUGCACGUGCUUUGCACGUGAGUUGUGAGAUAUCGUUACAACACAAUGUUGACAUACAACUGACACUUACAUAUUACGUCACUGAAAAAAGGAAAACCUUAGCUGCAUAGUGUUCCAAUAUAUAGCGCAUUACAUGUAUGGACCUUAAGGUUAAAUUCAUGAAUAUGCAAAGAUAGUGUUGUGGCAUUUCGUUGAAAUUCUCUGAAAAGAUAUAUGGACUGUAAGAAAUAGUUCAUGAGAAGUCUUUCACUAUGAGUAAAAGUUCACAAAUAAUCUCAUAAAUGGAUACACUUUUAUUCAAGCGAGAACUCUAAUGGAGCAAGAGCAUAGACAGAAGAUUCUAGACCAAAUCAUAAAUGAAAACUCUAAUGGAGCAAGAUCAUGCAUGGUAGGUUCUAGCAUAAAUGAGAAGGGUGUAAAGAUAGUAUAUGUGACAUGUACAAGGGUGGACUAAGUUUUUAAUUAUUGGAAACUUCUAGAAAGUACACAUGGCGGAAUCUGAUGUAAUUGAUAAGAAAUCAAAUGGUCAGCAACGCUCGGAUUUGCCACCUCUUGACCGUCGGAUUAAGUUCAUCCAACGAUCCAUAUUCAAACUUAUUCACACACUAUAUAGUGGUACAGAUAAGCAUGUGGUUUCCUUAAAAAGAAAACUGCUAUAUAACUUGAUGUUGGCGGAGGCAUACCAAAGCUUUUAGCUGCAGAAUGACAUCAGCAUAAUGCAACGCAAGUCCAGUAGCCCCUAACGUUUUCAUGAGGUUGAUAGCUAUGUGAAGUUCUCCAGAUGAUUGCUUUGCAUCUGCAUGGCUCUUCCAGAAAGCUUCGUUGAUUUGAAGGCGCAUGAAGUCUACAAUCUCCACAAGUUUCUCCACAAUCUGCAAUAAGACAACAUGGAUCAUUGGUAAUUCCAUGACUUGACUUAGAUUGAAGAAACACUAAUAGUAAGUAAUCAGGGGUUAUUACAUCGUCCAUACUCUUUGACCAAAGCGAUUUGCAUUUUAAGACCUUCACCGCACCCCUUUGGUUCUUGAUAGCAUCAAUUUGUUUCCUAACAGGAAUAGCCGCUACAUCUGCAUAUAGUUGUUGUAUAAUUAGAGAGGAGAAGAGACUCAUUGAAUGCAAGUGACGAACUAGCUAGUUUGUAGUACAAUAAGCGUGCUCAAGUCUGUCCAGUGCUAGCAUUUCUUCAUGUAGAACCUGAACAAAUGGAAAAUGGAAUCUCAGUGUUUUGUCAGAUGAAAACAUCUCUCCACAAGGAUGUAACGACUGUGCAAAAAAAAAAAAAAAGAGUAUAUACUAACCCGCGUGUGUUGUGCUAAUCUUAUUAGAUACUUCAUACUGGGAGGUACCUCUUCACUGGAGUUCUUAGAUGGCAGUGGAGAAUCAGCUCUGUUCAUUGGCAAGAGCAAUGUAUGUAGAAGCAACAAAUAAAGAUGAGGCAUGGUGAAGACAUGGACUCCACAGUGAAUUAAGUGGCAACCGCGAUAAGUUUUACCUUGAGAAAUAUCUACUGAGAUCGUGCCAUUGACGAUCUUCACACAGAUCUCCAAACCUGGCAACCUCUAUCGAAAAUCGUCUCAAGUCCUCUCUGCAUAAUUCCAACCAAAUUCAUGUAAGGUUUUUCAACAAAUAUAAACUGCUAAACAAACAGGUCCAGCAAAUUAUGUUACCGUAUGUCGUCUUCAAUGAGAAUGGACAACUGACUGUAAUCUUCCGAAAUAAGACGGCAAACACCUUCAGACCUUAGCACACCCUCUUUCAGAUGCCUUAUUCUUUGUUUAGAGAAGGAUUUUUAUCAGAUUGGAGGCCUUGACAAUUGUGUUGGCAAUCUCGAAAGCGUGGAUCGAUAUCUUUCUUCCUUUGGGAGCAGAGCGGAAAACAGCGCUCAUAUUUGUAGAACUUGGGGAGAAUGAUCUACUUAUCAUUCUGUUCAAUUUUGCUGCUAAAUUGUUGGAAUUCACAUCGCCACACCCUGCGAAUGCGUCUAUUUCUGAUUCCUGUAAGAUUAGAGGAGGCCAUGAACUUAUUAUAUCGAGCACUUUUGUUUUAGACUAGUAAAUUACCAUGCAAUGCUCUUCCCUGCAAAAGGAAUUAAAAAAAUGCAAUGCUCGACUACUGAAUUAAGAUAACUCUUAAAGGAGCAUUAUUGUGAGACGGGCUAUAGCUCAGCAAAGUUUACCCGUAUGGGCUGUUCUGAUUUUUGUGCUUUGCACCUCUGUAAUCUAAAACUAUUUUCUUCCUUGAUUAAAUACAUGAAGCAGUGCUACUGCAAAUUCUUUCGAGGGAGAUUUUUUUUUUUGACGAGGUCUUUUAAGUGACCCGUAUAGGCUGUUCAUGGGCCAUAUGAAAUUUUCUUCCAGGAAUAAAAUCAGUAAUUCAAGAGGAAAGAAAGCAUGUACACAUAACAAAUUAGAGGAUCCUCAAAAUAAAAUUCUCUCAAAAACAAAUAUGCCUAGCAUUAAGAAAACAAGGGAUUAAAUGGACCAUACUAGCCUUUGGAUAGUACUUGAUGACCUAUUACGCAUUUGAGGUAAUAUGUGUAUCAAAUGUUGGAUAAACAAAAGGACGGUCCACAACAAUUUGGGAGCACUUUAGAUUCUUAGAAGAAUAAUUUCAACAGAUAUCCAGUUGACCAUUCUUAUAAAACAACACAUAAAUAUUAUUUAAAAAGCUCCAUGAACGGAAUAGUUAGAUAAUCCAGUUGGCAAAUUCUUAAGAGUUCGAUUUCCCUUUCCUGUAGUACAAUGAAGAUCUUUUCUAAAGAACUUACCAUAAGAAAGGAUGGCAUAUCAACUUUUUAUUGAAGCAAUAAAAUUAGUUUUUUUUAUAUUGAUGUAUGUAGAUCUCUAUGGCACAACUGUCAAUGGAGUGCUAGCUUGAGGAUGUGUUUACUUCAUAUGGAUGGCAUUUUAGUCUUGAUUGGUCCUCCAGCAACCUUAGGAUGUUUAUUCCUUUUGUAAUGCUAUGUCAGUCAAUUUUUUUUUCUAGUUUGGACGCUUGCUUGCUUGAGCUAUCCCUCUUUAUUCUAAGAAACUGACUCCAAAUGCCCCUUGAAAUUGCAUUAAUUGUGUCAAAAUUAAUGUACGGAAAUUUAAUAUUUCAAUUUAUUUUUUGUACUUCAACAACAUUUGAUCUUCAUAACUCUAUGUGUAAAAAUACAAAUUUUAUGUAAAAAUAUUUCGGAAUAACCUGACUAAAAAUAUCAAAUAAUAUCUGCAGCAAAGCGCAGGGAUUUACACUUAGUUUGUAUCAAUUUAACUCUAUGAUGUGGUAUCGUCGCAAUGUGAUGUUUGGAGUUAAUAAAAUACCCUUCAUUGAAAAUAAAAAACUACUCCCUCCGAUCUAAAUUAAGUGUCGCGGUUUUGAACUAAUGUCAGUUUAACCUUAGUUCAGGGUUUAGGGUUUAAUUUAACCUUAGUUCAAAACUGGGACACUUAGUUUGGAUCAGAGGGAGUAGCAUAACAUGUACCAAUGCACGCCAUUACUUAUCAUACCUGGCCCACUGCUGGCACAUCAUUCAUGUCAAAACAAAAAUUUGUGCCAUCCAAUUCAUUCAGCGUUUGUAAGAUAUCCGAUGCAGAGGGCCUUUUACUGGGAUCAGGAUUAAGACAAUUUAGUCCUAAUACGAUGCAUCUAUUUACUUGCUCGGAACAUGUUUCCAAUGCUCUAUAACUUAGUGUUUUUUCCAAUCUGUGCCUCCAAUUUGCAACCACCUACAAACUUGCCACAAUAAUUUAGUAUAUCAUGAAAAUGAAAAUGUUGGAUUUAUUCAUCUUACUUUUUUUGUGGGGAUGGAUUUAUUCAGCUUACAUUCUCGAUGAAGUCCUCAAACGGUGUUUCACUACUCUCAGGAUAUUUCCUAUGUCCCGUCAUUAACUCUAUGACUAUAAUGCCUAAACUGAAUAUAUCUGACUUUGUUGUGAUUAAUCCAUUUAUUAUGUACUCAGGGAGCCAUGUAUCCACUGCAGAAAAACAAUUGUACAUUUUUAUAUACUAGAUCAAUGAAAAGCAUUGAAUUUCUGAGGAGGAAUAGCUUACAAUGUACCCCCACGACUUUCGGUGAUAACUCGAGACUGUUGUUUGCCAAAGAGCCUAGACAUACCAAAAUCUACAAGCUUGGGCAUCAUAUGAUCAUCCAACAAUAUAUUUUGGGGUUUAAGGUCCAAAUGAAUAAUGCGGCACUCAUCAUGAAGGUAACGCAAACCGCUGCAAACUCCCCUAAUUAUAUCAUAUCUUAUGUGCCACUCAAGUCCACAAGAUUCAGCUGUAGAAAUAGAACAAAAGAACCACUAUAUGCAUAAAGAACCAAUAUAUGUAUAUUGUAUCAUCCAACUUAAUUUAUGCCAAAAUAAUGAAGUAUAAAGAAAAACAAGAUCUGGCUACAGCACAACAUACCAGAGAGAUGCUUAUCAAGGCUGUUAUUUUCUAGAUACUCGAAGCAGAGUAGUCUUGUCCGCGUUUCAGCCAUGACAUAUUUCUCUCCUACUUGCGUCGCUUCCCACCGUGAUUCAGCGCAGUAGCCUACAAGUUGUACUAUAUUUUGGUGCUUAACCCCGAUAAGAUAGGUGACCUCAUUCUGGAAUUGAUCAUCUUCUAGUUGCAUUUCAAAAAGUUUCUUCACAGCAAUCUGUCACAUCCCUAGCUUCUGACAUUGCACUAGGCUAACUUCAUGUGUGCAUCAUGUUUAAACUUUGAAAGAAACUUGAAAUGGGGAUUGCCUAAACCCCAGCAUUAAAGGAAUUCGCUAGGUUCAACCAAAAUAUUUCCAGUAAAUCCAAAUGGCUUUCAAAAAUGUUCAUCAUUCUUGGAAAAUGCUGGAAACAGUAACCAGAGGUGAUGCACAUCUUUCCAUGACAUAUUUGGGCUCUGGAUUAAAUCAUACUCUAUUUGCAUUUGGGCAUUCAAAUGCUAUUAAAUAUUUUAAAUGCUCAAAUAAUCAUACACUAAAAUGUUUACUGUAGGAUAUAUUCCCAACAGUGAUCAUGAGUAGUUUCUUGAUUUUUGAAAGUGUCUAAGUAUUUUUAAUAAAGCCCUAAAGACUACAGAAUAUUAGAAAACAGAAACAAAUAAAAAAAAGAGAGAGAAAGGAAACCUACCUGGCCUCACCUGUCGCAGCCCAGCUGGCCAGCCCACCUAGCCGGCCCAGCCCAGCACCGCUGCCAGUCAUCUCCCACCUCUCGCCAGUAGGACGAGAGGCGUGUGGCCGCCGUGCACGCUGGCCACGUGCCGUGCCACCUCCUGCUUCCGCCGCUUCUGGAGCCAGCCCCGAGUGCCACACACUCCCCCUCGCCCCCUGCGCCUCUCCUCUCUCCCCCCUGGACCCCAACCCCUUCUCUGCUUCCCUCUUGCGCGCACCACCAAACGGAGCCGUCGCCACCGUCGCCGUUCGUCGUGGCCACCGAGCCCCCCCUCGCCUAGCUAGGAUGUCCAGCAGCACCGCCAUCGUCUCCUACGUCUCCUCGACGAAGGAAGCAAGCCCCGACGCCCGAAAGCGUCGCCAUCGAGCUCGUCCCCGCCGCCUCUGGCCGGAGAUCGCCGGCGUCGAUCCGCCUCGUCCAAACCGUCCCCGAGGCCACUGAACUACCCUACGGAAUCACUGUGAGCCCCUGAACCGUUUCCCCCUACUCCCGUACUCGAUUUCGAGCUCUAGCUAGACUAGCCACCGUGCCCGAAGCUCGCCGCCGCAUGAGCUCGUCGCCGCCGUGGCUCCGACGACCAAAUGGCCCCGCGCGUGCGUCCGUUGCACUCGCGACGUCCCGUAGAGCAACGCUAGCGCGAUAGCCAGUUUGUUUGCAAGCCGCAGCGCUAACCCCGCACCCACCCGAACUCCGGCGGCCGCAAAAGAGCUCGCCGCCGUCGACUCCGGUCACCACAGGCCCAGCCACCACCACCAUUCGACGCGCACCGGCAAGGGCUCUCCAACGCGCCCAGCCAUGGCUCGAACCGUGCCUCGUAGCGCGAUCCCGAGUACCAGCUUCGCCUCUGGCCUCGCCGGCGAUUAGCCGCCGGCCUAAUCCCGGCGCUUAGCGCUAAUGACACCUGGUUAAACCCCCCUAUCUCACUGACACCUGGGGCCCACACCCUAAUUAAACCGGGGUUUACUUUUGUUUAGUUUAAACUAACCUCGCGGGUCCCACAGGUCAGGUUGACCUGGCCACGUCAGCGUUGACCUGGACCCACUGGUCAGCCUCUGUUCCUGCCUUGUCACACUGACAUACGGGACCCACGCGUCAGGUUUGACCUGGACCGUGGCCCGUUGACCUGCUGACGUCAGCAUGAUGUCAUGCUGACGCAGUAUUGGUUUUCUGGAUUUAAAAUAAUUCAGAAAAUUCCAGAAAAUAGUAUAAACUUCUAAAAAUCAUAUAAAAUCAACCGUAGCUCAGAAUGAAAUAAUUUAUAUAUGAAAAAUUAUCAGAAAAAUGCAAUCUAUCCAUCUGUAUCAUUUUCAUGCAUGUCAAACUAAGUUAUACCUGCUGUAUAGGUGAAAACAUGAUAAUGACAUUAUAAAUGCUAAAUAUGGAGUUUGCAUAUGAACCCUUAGUUCAUAUGGACCUCAUUUAAACUGUUGCUAGAUGCAUUAGUGUAAAUCAUAACAUUCUUGACAUGUCAUGACCAUGCAUCAUAUUGUCGCAUUGCAUUGAUUGUGUCCUUCUUUGUUUGCCGGUAACCGUCCCCUCUCAGUAGCCGAUGCUCCGAUGACGUGAUCGAUGACACCGAUGAAGAACUAUAAUAUCUUCAGAAGUGCCAGGCAAGCAAAACCCCCUUGUCCAUUCCGAUACAAACCCACUCUCUCGCUCCUGCUCUCUUUUACUGCAUUAGGACAACAACGAUUCAUGUGUUACCUGCUGCGGUAGUUGAACCCCUUAUCCUCUGCAUGACCUGUCAUUGCCACAGUAAAUAGAUGAAACCCACUAGCAUGAGUAGGAGUUGUUUGAGCCCUGAUGUGCCUACUCAUUCAUGCUUGUUUGUCAUGCCUGCUAUUGCUUAGAGUUGUGUCAGGUCUGAUUCAUCGGGGAUGAGUUGGAAUGGUGAUGAACAUGUCCUACUGUGUGUGAGCUAAGUGUGUGAACACGAUUUGGUAAAGGUAGCGGUGAGAGGCCAUGUAGGAGUACAUGGUGGGUUGUCUCAUUGAAGCCGUCCUCAGGAACUGAGUUCUGUGUUUGUGAUCCAUGAUACAGUUACUACCACGCAUUGGGCCCGAAACCAAUGGACCCUCUCGGCUUCUUAAUCACCCUUGUCCUCUGUCCAGGAGUUGCAAGUAGUUUCUGGUGUUUGUAGUAUGCUGGAGGCCGUGGGCAGCGCUGAAGCCGUCCUCAGGAACUGAGUUCUGUGUUUGUGAUCCAUGAUACAGUUACUACCACGCAUUGGGCCCGAAACCAAUGGACCCUCUCGGCUUCUUAAUCACCCUUGUCCUCUGUCCAGGAGUUGCAAGUAGUUUCUGGUGUUUGUAGUAUGCUGGAGGCCGUGGGCAGCGCUGACCCGAGGGGUGGGCUGUGAUGCGGUAGGCACGUGGCCGGGCAUGCCGGGCGCCCGUUUGGUGUCGCGGAACCCUGUACACAUCGUUCGGGGCCGUAUGUGGAAACCUCGGCCGGACUCCCUGCGGAUGGAACCUGAAUAGGCGAUAAACCUGGACUAGAGACUUGAGCGUUUAGGUAGGCUGUGGCCGACACCCUCGCUGGGCUUCCGCUUGAAGGUUGCCGAGUACAUGUCGUGUAAACGGCGGUAAGUGGUGAGAGCGUGUGUGACGAAGUACACCCCUGCAGGGUUGAUAUGAUCUAUUCGAAUAGCCGUGUCCGCGGUAAAGGACUUCUGGGUUGCCUAUAACAGUUCAUAGACAAGUGAAAGUGGAUACUCUAAAAUGUGCAAGAUAAGCGUGAGUGCUAUGGAUGGCGUUCUCGUAGGGAGACGGGAGCGGAUCCAUAGUGGAGUAUUGAUAUGGUGAAUAUGUGGACUCGUGUGCGCCACCUCAAAAGAGUUACUUGCAGUCGUAGUUAGGAUAGCCACCGAGUCAAAGCUGGCUUGCUGCAGUUAAACUCCACCACCCCCUUUGUUGAUACCGAUGCAUAUGUAGAUAGUUCUGAUGUAAGUCUUGCUGGGUACAUUUGUACUCACGUUUGCUUAUUUUAUGUUUUGCAGAGAGACGUCAGUCUCGCUAGUAGUUCCGUGUGGACUUCGACGUUUAGCUUGAUACCUCAGCUACGAUCUUGUGCCCUCGGCAGGAUCUGGUAGAUAGUCAGGCUUCUCAGCCUUUUUCAUUUGUAGAUGUCUGUACUCAGACAUGUUAAGCUUCCGCAUGUGUUUGACUUGUAUGCUCUGAAUGUUGGGUCAUGAGACCUAUGUUUGUAAUAUCUCGCUCCUCGGAGCCUAAUGAAUAAAUACUUGAGUCGUGGAGUUAUGUUGUGAUGCCAUGUUGUAUUUACACAUAUCGAGCAUAUUGUGUGUAUGAUUGAAAUGCUUGGUAUGUGUGGGAUCCGACAAUCUAGUUGUUUAUCCUUGGUAGCCUCUCUUAUGGGGAAAUGUAGUCUUGUGCUUCCAUGAGCCAUAGUAGUCCGCUACAGCCCGGUUCACCGGAGUCCUGCUAGCCCAGCACUACUGCUCCGGGACACUUGACUGGCCGGCAUGUGAUUCACGUCGUUCCUGUGUCUGUCCCUUCGGGGAAAUGUCACGCGGUGACAUCUGGAGUCCUGCCUGGCCUGCUACAGCCCGGGUUCCCGGAGUCCUGUUAGCCCAGUGCUACAGCCCGGAUUCACACGUUGCUGACCGACAUGCUCGAUGUUGAUUCAUGUAUGCCUGUCCCCGUAAGUUAGUGCCGCUUUGGGUUCACGACUAGCCAUGUCGGCCCGGGUUCUCUGUCAUAUGGAUGCUAGUGACACUAUCAUAUACGUGAGCCAAAAGGCGCAAACGGUCCCGGGCCAUGGUAAGGCGACACCCGUGGGAAUGCCGUGCGUGAGGCCGCAAAGUGAUAUGAGGUGCUACAGGCUAGAUCGGUGUGACUUAGAAUCGGGGUCCUGACAGCGUUGGUAUCAGAGCCUGACUGCCUGUAGGAUUACCAAGCCAAACUGGUCGAAGUUGAGUCUAUAAAUGCUUUAGUUAUAUAAGGGAAUUGAUUGUGGAAGGGAACGUAAGGCUCUUUUUACUCCUUUACCUUAUGCCCUUCUGAUCUGAGUCACCCUCUUCUCUUCUACGGGGAUUAAGAACUAGGCCUUCUCAUCUAUCUAUCAGGAUGACGUGUUACUAAUCCAUAGACUUAUAGAAUUGAUAGUUUCAAGUCUCAGCUCAGUUUCUACUACUUCCGUAUGUUCAUAGCUGGCCUCAGAACCUUGAUAUUGUGAUGUUGAGUGGUCAUGCCACUAUUUUGCAGGAUGUCUCAAGUAUUUUUGAGCAUUUACAGUCGUUAUGCUAACCGAGUCAUCCCAGGUUUCUAAACUAUCUGAUGCAUUUGCAAAAUCAUCUACCUCUGGUUUCGAUGUUCCUUUAGGCCAGGUUAAUCACACUAAUUGCUGAGUUGAGGUACUCUAUUGCCUCGACAUAUAUGUUGGAGUUAUUAUUAUGACCCUAGGUGUCUUAAAGGACCACUUAGUAAUCUAGCAAUGCUUGCAUCCCCAGUGUGAUGAUUCUGGCCAUUAUUCUCGAAAGCAUCCCGUGAUGCCAUUUAGUUAGUAGGCAUUCUAUUUCUGGGUUCUUGAGCCCAAGAAUCACUCCACUUACCUCCUGUUGAUAGUGUUUGCUCGUUCCUUUAGGUUAUUAGUAACCUUUGCAUUAGUCCUCGAGGCCCGUGGUAUUUCAUUCUUCCAAUACCAUGAACCAUCAUGGCAGAAGUUCUUUUAACCAAAAGAUCACAACCAGGGCGCUCUUGAGGAGUACUCCAUUCAUAUUGUGACUCUGCCAGUCCUUCCUCCUCUGCAUGGGUUAUCCGGAAGAAAUAUGUUGAAUUUGUUCGACAUACUAAUCCAUGCAUCCACAACUCAGAAAAACAUAUGUUCCUUUGGGUUGUCCCUCUUUAGUUAUUUUCUGGCCCUCGUCUAUCAAUUGAUAGUCAGGAGUAAUUGUGCAUUUGUGUUAUCGAUGCCUAUUAUUCUUGUGGUCUGUCAAGCCAUUCUAAUCCGGAAUGACUAGGAGAAACAAACUCCAGUACCUCAUCCAUCUUUGGGAUUGGGUCAAAGUAGUUGUAUUCCGCAGAUCAAAUGCCUAACCAGCUUUUGUUCUGUUCUACCUUCGAGUAUUACCCCCUUUAUGUCGAGAAUAUCGUAGGAAUUGCACCACCUUUUGUGAAUUCUUGACGCAGUGAUACUCCUCGCCAUCAUCAUUCAUUUCUCGGUCCCGUGUUAUUGUAACCGGAACACCGACAAAUGAAUCGUGAUGCGUGAAAUCAAUACUCCUAGAAACUCCGUUGCUUGGUAGUUAAAGGACAAUAAUUUCAUCCUUAGCGUGUUGGUUACUGAAUCACAUCCUAAGGUUGAUCGUGCUACCCAGUCCUUAUUUCCGGUGCACUUUUCGAUCAAUGAGUUAGGAUAGUGUCAGUCCUUGCUUAUUCGGUCAUAUCGUCUUGCCCUGAAAAGCAAGAUUGUUCUCGAGCUUAGCAACAUAUCGGUGGUACGUGAUUUUCCGAAUAUCUUCUCGGAAGUAUCACCAGGUUGUCACCUGACCGCUAUGUUGAAUUCGUGAUCAAGUUGGUUUCCUGUAAACCACCCCUUCUCCAAGAAUCCGUGUUGGAUACCCCUGAGCUAGUUGGUCAAGCUAAACAACAACUUGGAGAGUUGGAAGAUAAAAGCUUGCCAGCCUAGUUCAUUUCAAGGGAUAUAUUUGCGUGUGUUGAAGAUAGACGAUAUCUUCAUCGAUUGGUCCCUGUGGUCAGUUGUUGGACCUAUUGUCGUAUCAAGACUUUGAUUUGAGUAUGGGCUAUCAUCAAAUCAAAUCAGAACCAACAAUGUUCAUAAUGUUGUCUUACUCGUGGUUGAUCCCUCGAGCAUACACCAUUAUAUCUUUUGGGUCUGACCAAUGCUAUCACUUGUUCACAUAAUUAUGGAAUUCCAUCUCCAUGGAAACCUGGAUGAAUUGUUGUUGAGCCCAUCAGCAACACUGCUACCUUCUCCAUGACUCGUGUUGAACAUCCAGCUAGUAUUGGAAACUUUGUAAGCAUUGCCUUCAUGUUCUGCUCAUGAGGUAUACGUUUGGAUGAAAGUAGUGACUUCCUCUAAUUCACGUGCAUUUGAUGUAAGUUGCUGCCGUGGAUUCGAGAAAGCUUGUUUUUGCUUCCUUUGGAAUCAUCCGAAGUCAGUCAUGCACAUGUGCGAAGUAUUCUGUGGUUCAGAGACUUGCAACCUUCGUUCUAUAUGUGCUCCUAGCACACCAAGCCACUGAUUGAUUUGUUCAAGGAAAAGGAGUUGUUGUGCAAAUCCUAGGUCAUGCACAAGACUUCGCUCUCUGCGAUGAUGGUUCCCCACCUGAACUCAGUAGUGUUUUAUCAUAAGACUACUAUGUGGUCAUGCUUGUCUGGGACAGCGUGUUCACAUGUGUUUAGCAGAACCAGCUCAUGUUUUGGAGUUUGCUACCUUAGUUCAUUCCUCGAGAAUCUCGCAACGCCAUCUCGUCGAAUUGUGUUGCAAACUUUCUUUUCAGACAUGCUGAGUCUGAAGUAUCCUAUCACCAAUCGGAUCUGAAUCUCAGGCAGAUAUGAUGGUUGGAACAUCCCAACGGUUGCAUUUUGUUCCCAGCUUGCACCCCAUCGUGCCAUUUUUCCAUGGGCUGCCCUUCUCAGCAGUUGCUGUCCAGGUCCAUCUACAAAGGUGGACUUACCAUGAGUCCCAUUCAUUUCUGAUGAUAAGCAAAAAUCAUCCAUUUCGUUGUCUUCAACAAGGUAGUCCACAUCGUCCAUUCUAGCCCGAGUGUGUCGUUCUCCCGAACUCCCUCAAACGAUCGUUUGUGAUUGCCUUAGGCUGGCAUAAAGAGUUUCAAUGAUAUUUAUAUCAAAAGUAAUUCUUUUUGCCACUUGAGGGAAUAAUUCUACGAGUCACCUUUCCCAAGGUGCCCCAUUAUGGAAUCAUGGCAAUUUUCCUCGCUGCUUUGAAACCUUCGUCAAAUCGUUUCUUCCGUCCCUCCUGAUGCAUGUUUUGCCUCUCAGCUCCAGAGAUGUUUCUAUGUCCCACUCUGUGAAUUGAUCUUGUGAUCAUUAAGAUGAUCCUAAGUUGCUCGAAUCUCAGAAAGAUCGAUUCUUCUAAAACUCUCUCUCUAUUCGUUGUUAUGUUGGAUGUAGUUCUCAAAGCAAGACGUUGAGAUCAAGGGGAUGCAAUGAAUCAACAUCCUCGAGAAAGACAUCUGGAUCGUGAAGAUUGUGUUAGCUUGUGUCCCUUUGUCUUCUUACCUCACGACUUGAAUCUCGGGACGAGAUUCUUGUUUAGUGGGGGUGAGUUGUCACAUCCCUAGCUUCUGACAUUGCACUAGGCUAACUUCAUGUGUGCAUCAUGUUUAAACUUUGAAAGAAACUUGAAAUGGGGAUUGCCUAAACCCUAGCAUUAAAGGAAUUCGCUAGGUUCAACCAAAAUAUUUCCAGUAAAUCCAAAUGGCUUUCAAAAAUGUUCAUCAUUCUAGGAAAAUGCUGGAAACAGUAACCAGAGGUGAUGCACAUCUUUCCAUGACAUAUUUGGGCUCUCGAUUAAAUCAUACUCUAUUUGCAUUUGGGCAUUCAAAUGCUAUUAAAUAUUUUAAAUGCUCAAAUAAUCAUAAACUAAAAUGUUUACUGUAGGAUAUAUUCCCAACAGUGAUCAUGAGUAGUUUCUUGAUUUUUGGAAGUGUCUAAGUAUUUUUAAUAAAGCCCUAAAGACUACAGAAUAUUAGAAAAUAGAAACAAAUAAAAAAAAGAGAGAGAAAGGAAACCUACCUGGCCUCACCUGUCGCAGCCCAGCUGGCCAGCCCACCUGGCCGGCCCAGCCCAGCGCCGCUGCCAGUCAUCUCCCACCUCUCGCCAGUAGGACGAGAGGCGUGUGGCCGGCGUGCACGCUGGCCACGUGCCGUGCCACCUCCUGCUUCCGCCGCUUCUGGAGCCAGCCCCGAGUGCCACGCACUCCCCCUCGCCCCCUGCGCCUCUCCUCUCUCCCCCUGGACCCCAACCCCUUCUCUGCUUCCCUCUUGCGCGCACCACCGAGCCGUCGCCACCGUCGCCGUUCGUCGUGGCCACCGAGCCCCCCUCGCCUAGCUAGGAUGUCCAGCAGCACCGCCAUCGUCUCCUACGUCUCCUGGACGAUGGAAGCAAGCCCCGACGCCCGGAAGUGUCGCCAUCGAGCUCGUCCCCGCCGCCUCUGGUCGGAGAUCGCCGGCGUCGAUCCGCCUCGUCCAAGCCGUCCCCGAGGCCACUGAACUACCCUACGGAAUCACUGUGAGCCCCUGAACUGUUUCCCCCUACUCCCGUGCUCGAUUUCGAGCUCUAGCUAGACUAGCCACCGUGCCCGAAGCUCGCUGCCGCAUGAGCUCGUCGCCGACGUGGCUCCGGCGACCAAAUGGCCCUGCGCGUGCGUCCGUUGCACUCGCGACGUCCCGUAGAGCAACGCUAGCGCGAUAGCCAGUUUGUUUGCAAGCCGCAGCGCUAACCCCGCACCCACCCGAACUCCGGUGGCCGCAAAAGAGCUCGCCGCCGUCGACUCCGGUCACCACAGGCCCAGCCACCACCACCAUUCGACGCGCACCGGCAAGGGCUCUCCAACGCGCCCAGCCAUGGCUCGAACCGUGCCUCGUAGCGCGAUCCCGAGUACCAGCUUCGCCUCUGGCCUCGCCGGCGAUUAGCCGCCGGCCUAAUCCCGGCGCUUAGCGCUAAUGACACCUGGUUAAACCCCCCUAUCUCACUGACACCUGGGGCCCGCACCCUAAUUAAACCGGGGUUUACUUUUGUUUAGUUUAAACUAACCUCGCGGGUCCCACAGGUCAGGUUGACCUAGCCACGUCAGCGUUGACCUGGACCCACUGGUCAGCCUCUGUUCCUGCCUUGUCACACUGACAUAUGGGACCCACGCGUCAGGUUUGACCUGGACCGUGGCCCGUUGACCUGCUGACGUCAGCAUGAUGUCAUGCUGACGCAGUAUUGGUUUUCUGGAUUUAAAAUAAUUCAGAAAAUUCCAGAAAAUAGUAUAAACUUCUAAAAAUCAUAUAAAAUCAACCGUAGCUCAGAAUGAAAUAAUUUAUAUAUGAAAAAUUAUCAGAAAAAUGCAAUCUAUCCAUCUGUAUCAUUUUCAUGCAUGUAAAACUAAGUUAUACCUGCUGUAUAGGUGAAAACAUGAUAAUGACAUUAUAAAUGCUAAAUAUGGAGUUUGCAUAUGAACCCUUAGUUCAUAUGGACCUCAUUUAAACUGUUGCUAGAUGCAUUAGUGUAAAUCAUAACAUUCUUGACAUGUCAUGACCAUGCAUCAUAUUGUCGCAUUGCAUUUAUUGUGUCCUUCUCUGUUUGCCGGUAACCGUCCCCUCUCAGUAGCCGAUGCUCCGAUGACGUGAUCGAUGACACCGAUGAAGAACUAUAAUAUCUUCAGAAGUGCCAGGCAAGCAAAACCCCCUUGUCCAUUCCGAUACAAACCCACUCUCUCGCUCCUGCUCUCUUUUACUGCAUUAGGACAACAACGAUUCAUCUGUUACUUGCUGCGGUAGUUGAAUCCCUUAUCCUCUGCAUGACCUGUCAUUGCCACAGUAAAUAGAUGAAACCCACUAGCAUGAGUAGGAGUUGUUUGAGCCCUGAUGUGCCUACUCAUUCAUGCUUGUUUGUCAUGCCUGCUAUUGCUUAGAGUUGUGUCAGGUCUGAUUCAUCGGGGAUGAGUUGGAAUGGUGAUGAACAUGUCCUACUGUGUGUGAGCUAAGUGUGUGAACACGAUUUGGUAAAGGUAGCGGUGAGAGGCCAUGUAGGAGUACAUGGUGGGUUGUCUCAUUGAAGCCGUCCUCAGGAACUGAGUUCUGUGUUUGUGAUCCAUGAUACAGUUACUACCACGCAUUGGGCCCGAAACCAAUGGACCCUCUCGGCUUCUUAAUCACCCUUGUCCUCUGUCCAGGAGUUGCAAGUAGUUUCUGGUGUUUGUAGUAUGCUGGAGGCCGUGGGCAGCGCUGACCCGAGGGGUGGGCUGUGAUGCGGUAGGCACGUGGCCGGGCAUGCCGGGCGCCCGUUUGGUGUCGCGGAACCCUGUACACAUCGUUCGGGGCCGUAUGUGGAAACCUCGGCCGGACUCCCUGCGGAUGGAACCUGAAUAGGCGAUAAACCUGGACUAGAGACUUGAGCGUUUAGGUAGGCUGUGGCCGACACCCUCGCUGGGCUUCCGCUUGAAGGUUGCCGAGUACAUGUCGUGUAAACGGCGGUAAGUGGUGAGAGCGUGUGUGACGAAGUACACCCCUGCAGGGUUGAUAUGAUCUAUUCGAAUAGCCGUGUCCGCGGUAAAGGACUUCUGGGUUGCCUAUAACAGUUCAUAGACAAGUGAAAGUGGAUACUCUAAAAUGUGCAAGAUAAGCGUGAGUGCUAUGGAUGGCGUUCUCGUAGGGAGACGGGAGCGGAUCCAUAGUGGAGUAUUGAUAUGGUGAAUAUGUGGACUCGUGUGCGCCACCUCAAAAGAGUUACUUGCAGUCGUAGUUAGGAUAGCCACCGAGUCAAAGCUGGCUUGCUGCAGUUAAACUCCACCACCCCCUUUGUUGAUACCGAUGCAUAUGUAGAUAGUUCUGAUGUAAGUCUUGCUGGGUACAUUUGUACUCACGUUUGCUUAUUUUAUGUUUUGCAGAGAGACGUCAGUCUCGCUAGUAGUUCCGUGUGGACUUCGACGUUUAGCUUGAUACCUCAGCUACGAUCUUGUGCCCUCGGCAGGAUCUGGUAGAUAGUCAGGCUUCUCAGCCUUUUUCAUUUGUAGAUGUCUGUACUCAGACAUGUUAAGCUUCCGCAUGUGUUUGACUUGUAUGCUCUGAAUGUUGGGUCAUGAGACCUAUGUUUGUAAUAUCUCGCUCCUCGGAGCCUAAUGAAUAAAUACUUGAGUCGUGGAGUUAUGUUGUGAUGCCAUGUUGUAUUUACACAUAUCGAGCAUAUUGUGUGUAUGAUUGAAAUGCUUGGUAUGUGUGGGAUCCGACAAUCUAGUUGUUUAUCCUUGGUAGCCUCUCUUAUGGGGAAAUGUAGUCUUGUGCUUCCAUGAGCCAUAGUAGUCCGCUACAGCCCGGUUCACCGGAGUCCUGCUAGCCCAGCACUACUGCUCCGGGACACUUGACUGGCCGGCAUGUGAUUCACGUCGUUCCUGUGUCUGUCCCUUCGGGGAAAUGUCACGCGGUGACAUCCGGAGUCCUGCCUAGCCUGCUACAGCCCGGGUUCCCGGAGUCCUGUUAGCCCAGUGCUACAGCCCGGAUUCACACGUUGCUGACCGACAUGCUCGAUGUUGAUUCAUGUAUGCCUGUCCCCGUAAGUUAGUGCCGCUUUGGGUUCACGACUAGCCAUGUCGGCCCGGGUUCUCUGUCAUAUGGAUGCUAGUGACACUAUCAUAUACGUGAGCCAAAAGGCGCAAACGGUCCCGGGCCAUGGUAAGGCGACACCCGUGGGAAUACCGUGCGUGAGGCCGCAAAGUGAUAUGAGGUGCUACAGGUUAGAUCGGUGUGACUUAGAAUCGAGGUCCUGACACAAUCAUUUUCCCAUUUUGAAGCAUCCCCUGUCCAACCUCCUUUUCUCAGUAUAGACAUUUUCCUUUGAUGACAUUCUCAAAGUGGAUAGUAAAGAAGAAGUAAAAGAAUCCACCAACCUUGUAAACCACUCCAUACCCACCUUUCCCGAGUUCCUGCUCGUUGGAAAAAUUGUGUGUGAUGGCUUUAAGAAAUUCUACCGGCAGGAAAAUUGGAGUGACACUUGGCUCUUGUAGCAUGUUCUCAAAUAUACCAAAAUCCAUAGUGUUUGGCAGGGAAUUAUUGGCAUGCGUCCUAGCUUCGUUACCCAUUUUCUUAUACUCAUGUAAAGACAGCAAUCGGUUAUGGCGGUCCGUUUACCUCCGUAUCCCCUUCUUAUGUGAGCCAGUCUUGCAAACAGCUGAAAUGUGACCCUCUCUGCUCCAAAGUCGGGACAAAAGUUGUCAGUAAGUACCAAUAAUAUAUAACGACGACCGAUUAGUGUGUAAUGCAGGUUAAGUUUGCAUCACGAGUGUUGUGGCUCGCCUUAUUACAUAGUCUAAUUUCCAUUAUCCGUAACAACGUGUGGGCGAUAUAAUUUAAUUUUUAGUGUAUUUGGCUAGUAUGUUGAAGGAAAUUUGCAGGUGCACCUCAAAAUUGGGAGCAUCUGUUCAACAGGAUCAAAAUGAAGGUGCCACCCUUGCGACUAAAAAGGGGUGAGGAAUAAGUAGUACCCUUCCCUGAUCUCCAACAAAAUCUGCAUCCAUCUUGGGAUUAAAUUACAGACAAGCACAACCAAUAAUAAUAAGAUGAAAUUAGAGGUGUGAAGAAAGGUUCUUUCCAAUAUACUAGUGCAGUAAGUAGUGAACAAAAAACCUUGAUUGCCAUUUAUUACCUCCGCCCCGAAUUACUUAUCUUAGAUUUGUCUAGAUAUGGAUGUAAAUCUAAGACAAGUAAUUUGGGACGGAGGGAGUACUUGCUAACACAAGAUGACCUGGACCUGGACAUAUAUAAAGAAGCUAAAGUGCAGAAAUAGGAUAAACUGGGAUUGUUGUGGAAUUAAAACAGAUGACUGGAAACAAAUUGUAUUUUUCUUCUUCAUUCAGAAAGUAGGCUUUUCACUCGGGGCUAUAGUUGAGGUACCUAUCCCAAAUUCCAGACGCCACCCCAUCUACCUGUCCGAAAGUAGGCCUUCUCUUCUCCAUCAUCUUUCUCCCGCAGAAAUCCAUGGCUUCCAAGAUGUCCCGCGCUCACAAUCCGGCCGCGGGAGGUUUGCUGCAACACAAAGACGUUCUGGCGAUCGGCGAUCGAAUCUGAACUAUUCUGCUACUACUGUAUCCCUUCCUACCUAGGCGAGAGCAGGGGCCAAAUGAGGCGCGCGGGAAUGACACAAGCGUCAAGGGAAAUCGAUUCCGUGUGAAAAUUGGCGCAUAAAACAGUAGAGAUCGAUUCCGUACCUGGACAAGAAAGAUCAAGGCCUGCCUCGAUCUGCAGCGCGGCGCAGAGCCUGAAUCGGAGAUGUCGGGAUAGCUUGACCUUGACUCCGCCAAAGGGCUCACUGGCUCCGGAGAUAGGAAGAAUUGUUGGCUUCACCUGGGCUGUGCAGUCUUCAACUCACAAGUCACAAUGAUGGUGUGCCACGGUCUCUCUCUCUCUGGUUCUGGUUCUGGUUCGCAAGGUUUAAGAAAGCGCAGAAGUAGACCAUCUUUUUUUAAAUCCUUCUUCUUAUACUAAUCAAAAUCACUAUUCUCUAUACCAUUAUAAAAAUCACCACUUGGAUACUAUAGAGCCGACCAGAAUAAAUAGGCUGUUUCUCAAGUUCUUGAUGAUCGGACGGUAGAGUGUACGAAGACCGGAUCCCCCUCCAAUCACCCCCGUGUUAAUCAUAUUCCCAUCACCUUCCAAAUUAAAUACUACGUACUAGUUAUAAGCGUUUCAGCUCAUAUCCUAUCCCCACACGCUUCACGCGACACGACACACCAUAGCGACGCUGCAACGCUCGGCUGAUUGACGCAUACGCCAUACGGCAUACCCGAUCCACCUCCUCUUCUCUGCCCACCCCACCCCUCUCUCCCCAAUGCUCACGAUUCUCGAUUGUCUGGUUUCAGUUUGAUCAGCAGCAGGCGGCUACGAGGCCCUUCCCAACGUCCACGCGGCCGAUUCGCCACAGCACGCCCACCACACAGAGCCUCCGAUGCGCUGCCGGCCGGUUUCCUCCUCGCACUCUAGGUGUUUGACGAAUUGUGCAGAAGGUAAAAAAAAUUUUGCUUUUUUUUUUGUUGUGGACAAAUGAGUAGAUGGUAAUUAAAACUAUUGCAUUGUACAUGAGUUCAAUUGAUUCAUGUUCUCCGUGCGAUGAUUCCUCAUCGGAAGAGCAAUAUGACAUGACUGAAUAGGAGGACAUUGCUUUGAUCUUGAUGAUGCACAAGAACCAGAAGCUCAAGCAUGGUGGUUCCUUUCACAAGCGAGAGGUGAUUCGGAGGGAUACGCAAGAGGCACAUGUUAGAUUGAUGCGCCUCUACUUUGGUCCAUCUCCAACAUUAUCAAGGGUGAUGCUUUCGUCGUCGGUUUAGGAUGUAUUCGGUUUUGUUCCUUCACAUUGCCAACUGUACGAAACAACAUGCUCUGACCUUUGAACAGAGGAGGAAUUGCACCGGCAAUCUUGGACAUAGCACCAUCCAGAAGGUGACUGUCGCAUUGCGCAUGAUGGCAUAUGGUGUUUCGGCUGAUUUUUAUUUAUGAUAACUUGGCGAAGGGAGAGACACUUUGAUCUUUUAUGUCAAGCGGUCGCAAAGGCAGUGGUUGAGGUGUUUGGGCCAUAGUAUCUGGAAGCACCCAAUGCUCAGGACACGGCGAGGCUUUUGGAGAUGAACUCAGCCCGUGGAUUUUCAGGUAUGCUGGGCUUCGUUCAUUGCAUGCACUGAAAGUGAAAGAACUACCCUGCGGCAUGGGAUGGACAGUUCAAAGGACAAAAGAAGGACGCCACCAUAGUUCUUGAGGCCGUGGCCGAUAAGGAGGCAUGGAUUUGUCAUGCAUACUUUGGGGUGCCUGGUUUUUACCAUGACAUCAAGGUGCUACAGCGGUCACCUCUCUUUGUCAAGUUAGCCAAUGGAGAAUCACCAUCGAUGGAGCUCCCAGCAAAUGGCCGCACAUACAACAUGGGCUACUACCUUGCGGAUGAGAUCUAUCCAAAGUCGUCUACUUUUUUGAAGCCAAUUUCAACUCCUCAUGGUAAGAAAGAACUCUACUUUAAUAAUGCUCAAGCGGACGCUAGGAAAGGUGUGGAGAGGGCUUUGGAAAUUUUGCAAGCCCAAUUUGCUAUUGUGCGAGGACCGGCUAAGUUUUGGGAUCAAGAGAUCCUUUGGUACAUCAUCACAGCAUGUGUAAUCAUGCACAACAUGAUCAUUGAGAAUGAGCAUGAUAAAGAUUUGGAUUACACAUUCUAUGAGCUCAUGGGAAACGCGUUGUCAUGCCCCGGCUGAUUGCCGCGCAGGUUGUAGUCGUGGUUGGUAGGAGGACGAGGGCGAGGCCCUCGCUUGCCUAUGGUUGGAGAAGGGGGUGAGGAGUGGCGCCGUGGCGCAGGAGCAAGGGAGGAGAGGUUGUAGGAUAUUCUGCUUGCGUUUAUUGAUCCAAGGGCUGGCUAUAUAGCCUAAUUACAAGACCAAACUAAGACUCCUAUUACAAUUGGGUGUUGGCAGGGUAACCUUCUUCGGGCCUAAACAUUUCCAACUAAUACCCAAACUCCUAAUCUAAAAAGACUGUAAUUAAACUAGGACAUAUCUUUAUGCAGGUGCAGGGCCGGCCCAUGCAGGUCCCUUACGCCUAUAGGGCUGGCCCCACAUGACAUCUCCCCCUCCAUUCUGAAAUAGCUCGUCCUCGAGCUGGAAGCUUCGAUAACAUUCGCGGAAGGUUGUAACAUCCUCCCAUGAAGCAGCACACGCCGGCUGGCCCUCCCAGUGAAUGAGCACCUGCUGGAUACCGCGGGCAAUACGAGCACGCAAUGCUUGGACAUAGGUUGGAUGUACUCGACCCUGAAACAGAGGUGGAAGCAUCGGCGGAACUUCCGGCGGUGGGCCAUGGUACUUCUUCAGACCCCGACAUGGAAAACAUUGUGAAUGCGGGUGCGUGGGGGCAGCUCCAAACAGUAAGAAACCGUAUCGAUUUUAGCGAGGACUUUGAAAGGCCCAUAAUAUUUGGGAGCCAAUUUCCCUUUGGCGCCUACUCCAAGGAAUGCCGCCGGCCGGUGCUGAAGACGGAGCCAAACCCACUCUCCAACAUCAAAAGAAAGGGCCCGAUGCUUAUCAUCAUAGUAAUGCUUGUACUGUUGUGCUGCCUGAAGGAGACGCUCACGGAUGUCGUGUAAGAACUGAUCGCGGUCGACGAUCUGCCGUUCCACCGCCUGAUAGCGAAUCUCGCCUGGCGUAUAGUCCCGGAAUGAGGGGGGAUCCCGUCCAUAAACCACCCUGAAAGGCGUGUCCUUCAACGCUGAGUGGUACGAAGUGUUGUAGCAGUACUCCGCCCAAGGCAACCAUUGGAGCCACUGCCGUGGGCGAUCCCCAGUUAUGCAACGGAGGUACAUGGUGAUGGCGCGAUUGAUGGCCUCAGAUUGCCCAUCAGACUGCGGAUGGAAGGCCGAACUCAUGUGCAAGCGUGUCCCCGCGGCGGCAAACAGAGCCUUCCAAAAGCCCGAACUGAAAACCACAUCCUUGUCCGAAACGAUGGAUGUGGGAAACCCAUGAAGUCGGACAAUGUUGGAGAAGAAGGCUUUAGCAACAGACUCCGCAGUGUACGGAUGCGCCAAGGGGAUGAAAUGCACAUACUUGGAGAAACGGUCCACAACGGUCAGUAUCACACUUUUGCCGCCCACCUUCGGAAGUGCCUCAAUGAAAUCCAUGGAGACGUCUUCCCAGACACGAGAGGGCACUGUCAAGGGCUGCAAUAAGCCGGCUGGAUGAAGCUGCUCCGUCUUGUUGCGUUGACAAACCUGACAAGCACGAAUAUACUGCUGAAGUGCGGCCCUUGCUUGCGGCAGAUGGAAAUCCCGACGCCGAUGAAGUGACUUCUGGAUACCUUCAUGGCCUGCAUCAUGGGCUGCAGCCAGGACCUCCCCGAGCAGCGGCGGCGCGGGUGGCACAUAAGCCCGCUGUUGGAAGGUAACAACACCAUCAACAAGAGCCCAAGGCUGUCCUAACUCACCAGAUUCUAGUUGUUCCCGGAAAGUGACAAGCGCCGGGUCCGUGUGUGCAGCCUGACGGAGAGCUUCAAACAGAUCAAAAGAAGGCCCGGAUAUGGCGAGUGCCUGGCCGGCAGGAGCAUCACGGCGAGAAAGAGCAUCGGCGACGAUGUUUUGGCGACCCGGUUUAUAUUCCACCGUGAAGUCGAACCCCAACAAUUUGCCCACCCAAUGAUGCUGUGGAAUGGUAGCGAGGCGUUGGUCCAGCAAAAACUUUAGGCUGUAGUGGUCAGUUUUGACGACGAAUGCAUGUCCCCAAAGAUAGGGCCGCCAGUGGCGCACGACGUGCACCAGACCAAUGAGCUCCCGCUCAUAAGCGGCGAGAGAAGCAUGACGCGGAGCGAUGGUUUUGCUGAAAUAGGCAAUGGGGCCGCCACCUUGAUGGAGGACUGCCCCGAAACCAGAUCCAGAUGCAUCACACUCCACAAUGAAUGAAACAGCAAAAUUCGGCAGCUGAAGCACAGGGGCUGUGGUAAGAGCUUUCUUGAGGGCUUCAAAGGCAAUAGUCGCUGCAGGCGUCCAAAGAAAUCCGUCUUUCUUGAGGAGUGCCGUGAGGGGAGCUGCAAUGGUGCCAAAAUCCGGAUGAACUUGCGGUAGUAUCCUGCCAGUACUAAGAAACCACGCACAGCGCGGACGGUGCGCGGAACCGGCUAGUCUACCACGGCAAGAACCCUGUCGCUGUCCAUGGCAACUCCUGCAGCGGAGAUGACGUGUCCCAGAUAAGCCAUGGUUUCCUCCCCAAAGGAACACUUGGAGCGCUUGAGAAACAGUUGAUGUGUGCGCAUAGCCUCCAAAACGAGCUUGACAUGACGGAGGUGAUCCGACAAGGACGAGCUGUAGAUCAAGAUAUCAUCAAAGAACACAAGCACAAACCAACGAAGGUAGGGACGGAGGACGUCGUUCACGAGUGCUUGGAACGUCGCUAGGGCAUUUGUCAAACCAAAGGCCAUCACUACAAACUCAAAGAGGCCCUCAUGUGUGCGGAAGGUCGUCUUGUGGAUAUCCUCAGGGGCCAUCCAAACCUGGUGGUAACCCGACCGAAGAUCCAGUUUGGUGAAAAAAGUGGGCGCCCUUGAGUUCAUCCAGAAGUUCAUCGACAACAGGAAUUGGAAACUUGUCCUUGAUGGUGACAAGGUUGAGACCACGGUAGUCGAUACAGAAACGCCAAGUCCCGUCGGCCUCUCUGACGAGUAGAACGGGGGAUGAAAAUGCAGAAGAACUAGGACGGAUCAGACCAUGAGCCAUCAUCUCUGAACAUUGGCGCUCUAGUUCAUCUUUUUGAAUCGUUGGGUAGCGGUAGGGACGGACAGCAACCGGCAGUGUUCCGGAAAUAAGAUGAAUAUGAUGGUCAUGUGCACGCUGCGGCGGCAGGCCCUGUGGGUCGGCGAAAACAUCGGUGAAAGUGGCCAGCAGGCUGUCCAGAAGUUCCUUGCCUUCGCACGCGUGUAGGUGGGCAGGACGUCCGAGGGAGCCGAAGCCCGACCACUCCACACGGUGAUCCGAGUGCCAAAACGACAUCCACUGCGUAGUGAAAUCCCAGAGAAUUGGCCCAAGAGUUUUGAGGAAUCGUGUACCGAGGACGAUGUCGAACCCGCCCAAUGGAAUGGCAUGCAGAUCAACAACGAAACGCUCCUUGUCAAUGGUGAUCGCAGCCUGCUGAAGGAGUCCCCGACAGGUCACCUUAUCGCCAUUAGCGACCAUGACUCCCAAACGACGAUUGGAGGAGAAAGGCAGCCCGACGAUGGUGGCCAACUCUUCAUGGAUGAAGUUAUGAGUGCUGCCUGAAUCAAGCAAGGCGACCAAGUCACGGUCCCCGAUGCGAAGAGUGACCUGCAUUGUGUCGCUGGUGGGAAUUCCGGUAACAGCCAAGAGUGAGAUUUGUGCUUCCUGGAAAUCCUCAAACUGCUCCUCCUCGGCGUCGGCGGAUUGAAUAUAGAACAGUCGUUUGCAGCGAUGGCCCCGCGUGAACUUCUUGUCACAAUUGAAGCAGAGACCCCUAGCGCGCCGUUCAUCCAUCUCGGCGGGCGUGAGUCAUUUAAAGACAAGCGCGGGCGUGGGGUUGGAGGAGUCCGGCAAGGCCGGAGUAGGUCCAGCCAUGGGGCGGAGUGGACGGCUGGGCCGGCCCGGAGUGGUCGCGGUGCUGGUGACAGUAUUGAGGUGCUCAAAGGAGAUUUCUAAGUCCAUAGCUGCGUCCAAAGUCGUCGGUUUCAGCAUCUCGACCUGAGUUUUCAUAGGUUCGCCCAAGUUGUUGGUGAAGAUAUCCCGCUCAUCGUCGUCAGCAAUGGGGCGCACCCGAGAGAGAUUCUCUAGAAAGCGCUUGGAGUAUUCUGCCACGGUGCCGGAGCGGCGGGUGGAGAUCAGCUCGCCAAAGGGGUUGGCGCGGGUCGGCGGUCCGAAGUGGUUGGCGAUCAGUUUUUGAAACUCGGUCCAGGACGGCCGCUGGCCCAGCUUAGUCUCGAGGUGGCCAUACCAUAAUGCGGCGACAUCGGUGAGGUGGUAUGAGGCGAGCCAAGUCUUAUCCGACUCCGGCAUUCGCUACCCGAGGAAGAAGAGAUUGCAACGUGUCAGCCACAGCCGUGGAUCGCUGGCUCCGUCAAAGAGGGGAAAAUCAAUCUUGUAGAGGCGCGAAGCCCUAUCCCCUGGAUCGGCCGGGGCCCUGGUGUGGGAGGGCGCAUCUGGGGGCCGCAGGAGCCCGGUACCACCCAAUUGAGGCGUGCCCUUGCCUUCCAGCCGAAGGAGGGCCAUGUUCUGCGCGCGCUGCUGCUGUGACGUGUCCGUCAGCUGGUCCUGGAGGGUUUUGAGUGUAGCGGCGAUGGACUGGAGGGUGGUGCGGUCCUCGGCGCGCUCUGUCCGAGUAGUGUGGUUCUCCUCCGAGAGGCUGUUCAAAGUGGCGACCACGGCCUCAUGAUCCUCUUGUUUGGUCGCGAGGUCUGCUAGGGUUUGCGGUAGAGGCGCCGGCGGCGGUGGCGGAGACAUGGCCGCUGGGAUCGACGAGGAAGCUGAUACCAAGUUGUCACGACCCAGCUGAUUGCCGCGCAGGUUGUAGUCGUGGUUGGUAGGAGGACGAGGGCGAGGCCCUCGCUUGCCUAUGGUUGGGGAAGGGGGUGAGGAGGGGCGCCGUGGCGCAGGAGUAAGGGAGGAGAGGUUGUAGGAUAUUCGGCUUGCGUUUAUUGAUCCAAGGGCUGGCUAUAUAUAGCCUAAUUACAAGAUCAGACUAAGACUCCUAUUACAAUUGGGUGUUGGCAAGGUAACCUUCUUUGAAACUAAACCUUUCCAACUAAUACCCAGACUCCUAAUCUAAAAAGACUGUAAUUAAACUAGGACAUAUCUUUAGGCAGGUGCAGGGCCGGCCCGUGCAGGUCCCUUACGCCUAUAGGGCUGGCCCCACAUGACACGCGUGCAACUGCAUAGAAGGGAGGACCAAAUCCGGCGUUUUCUUGAGGUGUACCAUGACAUUCGAGAUGCCCAUACACACGUAGAUAUUCAAAACAAUGUCAUGGGGGGAGUGAUGGAAGUGGCACGGAAAACAACAUCCCUAGUUUCAUCUUAUUGUGCGAUGAAUAAUUUGUGUGAUGUGUGAUGAACAAUUUGUAUAAUAAUUUGAUGUUCUGGAUUGAUGAGCAAUUUGUGUGAUGCGUGAUGAACAAUUUACGUUUGUAGUGAAAUUUAUUUGUUUUGUAAUCCCUUGAGAGUUUGAUAUGAAUUUAAUAUGUAUGAAAUUGUCGGUGCCCAAUAUAGGGCAGCUGUUGAAGAUGCAAAACUUUUUUUGGCGUACAUUUUAUUGGGUUGUUGGAGAUGCCCUUGGCAGUGGAAUGGCAAGCUGAGACCUGGGACUGGGAGCACCCGGAAUGGCAAGCUUGAGACGGAGGGUGGACUCUGUUUCGAUGUUGUAGUCCUCUAGGGUGCGGCCGUCCUCCAGUAGCGUCCCGUUGAAGAAGAGGCACUGCUGGGAAGGGUGGAUGCCCGUCUCAUCGUGGAUCUUGGCCUUCACAUUGCCAAUUAUAGUGGAGCUCCAGACUGUAACACUAGUGAUGGUCUUGCCUCUCAAAGUGUUGAUGUAGAGACGCACCCUGUUUCUCUUCGGCUGCCUAGAACUCACAUACAGGACACUUUCACUAUUCAUGCCGUAGUAAUCCAGGGUACACUCAUCCUCCAGCAACUUCUUACCAUUGAACAGGCGCUGAUUGCCCGGGGGAAUGGCCUCCUCAUCAAGAAUCUUUGCCUUGAGACUGUAGAUGGUAUCUGAGCCAUCAACCUCGAGAGCGAUGGUCCUGCCACUCUUUCCGGCCACAAUGUCUGCUAUCUUCUCGGCAUGGAUCUGCAUCUUUGCCUGGAGAAUCGAUCCACUCCGGAUGUCAUAAUCCGCAAAAGUGCGACCGACCUCAAGCCGCUUCCCGUCAAGGUAGAGAACGGAAAAAUCCUUAAUGUUAUAACGUCAAAAAUCCUUAAGGCCUUCUUUGCACUUUCCCUGAAGCACAAGAUCCCGUAGUUCCUGAAUCUUGGUCUUCACAAUGCCGAUGGUAUCUGUACCAUUAACCCGAGGGUGAUGAUCUUGCCGGUGAGGUCCCUGACAAAGAUCCACAUCUGUAUUACAAAGUAACAACCACACAAAGUAUCAGCAUCCUUCAGAAAAAAAGGAUUUCUCUUGGCUUUCAAUAAAACCUCAAAAACGUAAGGCUUAGUACUGUAAUAAACAUCACCAAUGCCAGCAUAUUAUAGAACCAUGGCAUAAAUAUCAUACUGCUCAGGUACUUUUUCUUUUCCUAUCGAAGUUCUUGCCAAAUAUAUAAUUGCAUAAUUGAACGGGAGCACCAAACAUUCAAAAGUUUCAGACAAAAGGCUGUUAUUAGAACCACUGGACAAUAAAAGCGAGCCCAUGUUGUAGUACAAGUAGAACUCACCAAUAGACACUUUAGUCACAACAAAAUCUGUUGGUUCACAUAACAGUCUACUCUAAUUAAUUAGUUAAGAAUCGUUGACCGAUAUGAAGAUUUGGAAUACCUUUGUUUGCUUUGAUAUUGCUUCAUACAUACCAUAAAAGAAAAUUACAAGAAUAAAGAAUGGAACACAAAUUUGUUAGAUUGUGUGUGACUCUGAGCACAGACAGAUAUCCCACAUGGGUUCUCUUCUUUCAGAUAGAACCACGGGAUGAACAAAGACAGGCACGAAUGACUAUACAGUACGUCUAGAUAAGGAACACAAGAACACACGUACCUUGAUGUUGACGAGCGGACGAAGUGCUUACUGGCGGGUUGGGUAGAUCAGUGACCGCUCUUCUUACCCCGAAGGAAUCACGCUGAGGGAGAAAGAAGGGGAUGAGUUGGGGUUGGGGAUGUGGAAGGAGAUGCCCUGGUUCUUAUAGUAACAUCCGAUCGGCGGUAACAAUAAAUCCGAGGAAUUGAAUGAGCGUCCUUACGACUCCUCGUGUAGAGCUGCAGUUGUGGUGGCUUCCUUCCCACUCCCGAAGAUGGCUUUCGCGUUUCCCCUUCUGCUUCAUCAGAAAUGAUGCGACCAGCGACGCCUGGCAUGGGUGGCAUCGUUGGAGCCCGUUACAUCCAUCCUGCCGUUUAAGUUGCAGUACCACCGUCUGCCCUUUGCUGUGCCACAUGAACGAAACCUAGGAGUGGAGAAAGCCAUCGCGGAGUCCGAAAAUGCCAUCCUGACUUCCUGAGUUCCUGACUCAGGUCCACCAUAUUCCACGAUCGGUACUACAGCUCCAUGAACAACCAAGGCCACCUUCCAUCACCUUGUUUCAGUUUCCCAAACACUGAAAUUGAACCAGAAAGUGAUUCGAUACCAUGACCUUGAAGGUAACAUCCCGCGUCGACGACCACGCGUUGCAUGCGCAGAUAUUUGAGGAGUGCAGCAUGAUUGAAGGGUUUAGAGGUGCCUUCUGUCUUCGAAAUUGGGCAUGCCACAUUAUCUAGUGAAUCUUCUAUUACAUGGUCGGCCAUCCAAGUCGUGUCCAACUUACAUCCAUCACGCACACUGUUGCCAACAUGUUUGCCCACUGCUUAGAUGAUGUUUCACUCAAGUUUUGCGGGCUUAUUAGGGUGGGAAAGUCAGCCUUGAUAUCUUUGCUACGGCUAUAUAGAAAUGAUUUGGCUUUUAAUAGUAAAAGUAAUUCUACAUUAUCGGUUAUCUACCGGCAUACACAUUUACUUUGUUCGUGGCCUUCGAGCAGGUGGUCAAGGAUGUGCUUACCCCAUGUGGGUGGCGGCAUAGUUUACUUCCCGCGAGGAGCACAUUUGUGUUUUUGUGCUUCUUCAAAAGUGAAGGACGGGUGUGCUUCCACGUGAAAAGCACAAUCAUGCUUCCACAAAAGUGAAGCACAGUUAGUAUAAUUUCUGAAGUACAUGCAGUUAGUACAAUUUUGAAGCACGAGAUAGUACAGUUUUGAAGCACAUAUUUCAUCCGGAAGAAUUUAUCGAAACCUAUUAAUAUGGAAUCUAGGUUCAAGAGAUAAAACAAUAAAAAUGAGUAUACAAAAAAACACAAACAAACGCACCCAUGCCUCUCGUAUGUGGAGAAAAACCUCACAAACUCCCAGGUUGCGACUUGCGUUGCAUAUGCAAUGCGGCACUUGUUAGAGCAUCUACAUCCGGACUUGGCAAAUUUGACGCCUCUAACGUCUGUGGACAGUGACCGACCAUGCAUCAAAUAUUCCAUUCCACAACCGAAUACCUCAAAUCCGUACUACUACAUGCAACCUGAACCUAAUCUUAAGCAGAGCCCAUCCGGCUCUGCUAGCUGUGUCCAUGUCUGGCGGCCAGCUAUGCUCUCCAGAGUGUUGGUUCCGUCGUCGGCAAGGUAGAGUAGGGCAUGGGACACGAGCCGGCUCACGGGACUCAAGGGGCGCCAUCUCCCAUGCCCUACUCUUUCUCGUCGGAGCCCGAAACCCUGACGGUCCCGUUGGACGUCAGAUCGAUGAUGGAUCCGUCCUGGGACGAGCCGACAUCCACCAUGACAUGGUUGCGGCGCUCGGACUGGAGCACCAUACAGGGCGCCGGAGAAUGUGACUCCGCCUCGCCAACGUCGACCGCCGCGAGGGCUUCCGCUGCCUCACAUGGCGGGCACGUCGCGCCAUGUUUUCGUCGCCGGACGCCCAUGGUGCGUCCUCAUGCUUAGUGCACCAACAGAGGGGUUGUGCAUCCGCCACCAUGUUCGGAUGGCAGAAGCACCGCACCGCCUCCGGUGAGGCAACGUUCUACACAUCGCGGCGGAUCCAUGCGCCAUUUGGGCGGACGCAAUGGAUUCCUGAGGAAGGACUCCGAGUGCUGCCGUCGGACGACCUCCUGCCCGGAGUGGCGGAGCGUAAGCCGGAUGGUCAUCUCCUACUCGGGGCCGUGUCGGAUGAGCUCAGGGUCGACAGAUCUAGAGGUGUAGGACUCGGAUCCGAUGCCCGCCAUGCCGGAUGUCGCCAGACGGGAGCUUGGGUGGCGGAGGGGAGUAGAGUGAAGUGGCUAGGAUUUGGUUCGGGAAGCGGAUGGGGAGGAAUAUAUAUGGGGUCGGGUGGGCUAGCGUGGGUCGGACCCGACGUGGCAGACGCGCCCGGGCCUCCCCAUAUUCGCCUCAUAUUUGGGCUAAAUAUGAUGGGUGCCGGUCAGCACGGGCGUUUGAGGAGGGUUUGAUGGUGUUGCCCUAUGUCUCGCAUUAAGCAAGACAAGAGCGACCCCUUGCUUAAGGCAAAUGCCACUUGGGACGACCCACGCGCGCGGGAUACAUCGGCAUGUUUUCUGUUUCAUUUUUUCUCACACUUUUUUGUUUUUGUUUUUCUUUCUUUUUUUUUACUUUUGUUAAUACUUUAAAAUAUUCUAAAUAUAUACAUGACAAAAAAAUUCUUCAAAAACAUUUAAAAAACUGUUGAAGAUGUAUUUUGUAAAAUUUUGAAGAAGUAUCCGAAAAAUGUAGAAGAAGUAUUCGAAAAAUGUUGAAGACAUAUUUGAAAAUUUUUAAACAAGUAUUUGAAAAAAUAUUGAACAAUUAUUUUAAAAAUGUUAACAAGUAUUUGAAAAAAUGCUAAAAAGUAUUUGAAAAAAUGUUGAUCAUGUAUAUAAAAAUGUUGAAGAAGUAUUUAGAAAUAUUAAACAAGUAUUUGAAAAAAUGUUGAAUACGUAUUAAAAAUGUUGAAGAAGUAUUAGAUAAAAUGUUGAAUAAGUACCAGAAAAGUAUUGAACGAGUAUAUGGAAAAUGUUUAACAAGUAUUUGUAAAAUGAUGACUAAGUAUUAAAAUGUUGAACAAGUAUUUAAAAAAUGUUGAAUAAGUGUUCGAACAAUGUUGAACGUGUAUACAAAUUUUUUUGAUCACUUAUUAAAACAUGUUUUUCAGAUAUGUGAAAAUGUAGAGCGAAAACAAAAACAAACAUAAGAAAAAACAGAAGAAAAAUAAAAUUGGAGAAGGAAAAAACAAAAGAAAAAACAAAAUGAAAACAUAGAAAAACCGGAGAAAAAAAUCAGAAAAAAACGGACAAUAAACAUUGGAAAACCCCGGCUCGUUCGACUUAAGUUAACCCGCCCUGCAACCAUAUCACGAAGCAAACCUCUAUCCUAGUGGCUAGCCGCACUUGCCGCAACGAGGAGGCGAAGGUUUGGAUCCUGUUCUUGCAUCCUUUUCUCUUCUAUUUUUAGUGUAUUUUUGUGCAUGAAUGGGCCCGGCCCACUACUGUCGACCCCUUCAGCGAGACCAGACGGAUGUCUUGCUGAAGCGAGAAAUAGUCGUCCUGGGUUUGAGUCGCUCGUCUGGGUCGGUUUUUUGUGACCAACCACUGACCGAGCUGUCCGCCCAAAUGUAUGAGAAGGGUUUGAGGCGCCCAGCAGCUGUAGAUGCUCUUAUCACCAAAGAAGAUGGAAGUGAUUUUUGCAAAGAGUACUUCUUAAAUAGUGAUUCUGUCGGCUCAUAGACACCGUAAUAAGAGAUGUACAGACUCACCCUAUCAGGCAGGCCUUAAGGCGACGCAUCUUAUGUCACCCAACGAGGGUGUGAGGCCCAAUAGAGUUGACUCCCCUACUUCUUCUGUUUGUUUAUCUUUUUUGUAUUUCUUCUUCUUUUGAUACUUGUUUUCUUGUUCUAUGUUUGUUUUAUCAUUUUUUAUUCGCACAGCCCCUUUUGCAUAAUUUUCUAGUUUAUGUGUUAUGUUUUAUUUUUAUUAUUUUAUUUGUUUUCUUUUAUUUGUUUUAUUUACGAUGACCUGAUUUUUCAUGAAAUAGGAGAACAUUCCUUGAUACACCUGAACAUAUUUUUUUCAUAUACAUGAAGAAUAUUUUAUGCAUGGUAUAAUACCAUAAAUAUUAAAAAAAACUUCAUAUGGGAAUAUAUUUUCACAUAUAGGAACACUUUUUAAUGCAUGAACAGUACCUUUUCAACAUAUUCUUUUUGGCACACUUGAUCACUUUCUUAUUUGCAACACAUAAUUUGUUUUCCUAUGUUUAAAAUUAUUUGUGUCAUCGUUGCAUUGAGGGCACGGGCGAGCCUCUGUAGUGGGCGGCGCCGGAGGGCGCGACAAGCACUCAAGCUCCAGACACACAACACACCUGUGUGGGGCUAGCCCCAUACCUCCAUGAGGUGUGAUGUCCGAGCACCUUAGAGGGCAUCGCCGCCUUGAGUCGGGUUCCACCUGAUGGCGCUGGUGUGUCAGGCUCGGCUAGGUUGGAAGCACGACUCUGUCAUCGUGGAGGACGCAUGCACUAUGCCGGUGGUGACUCUUUGUGGUGGUCGAACGAUGGAGGGUGCAUGAGAGAACCGCUUGGUUGUCGUGGACGACACAAUACGACGAACGCGGUCGAGACCACAUCUUCCUCUUCUCUUCUCAUGUCUUCUCCUUUUGAGUACCCUGGUUUUUUGUGUUUUUGUCACAUCUUUAAUGGCCUUUAUGCUCUCGGCCAGAGCAUGCAGCAUGUUAGUUGUAAUUGUAACUAGAGAUUGACACUCAAUAAAUGUAACUGUGAUAUUUUUAUUGACAAUGUUGAGUCUUUUUAUAUGGUGAAAAGAUACAAGGGUUGCAUAUUGGGGAAGCAUCAGAAACUGGUGGCUUUUUGCAAAUCACGCAUCUAUUUUCUAACAUUUUCUAAAUGUGAGUCAAAUGAAUCACCACGUUUCAUCACAUUGACCGGGCUAUUCACCAAGGCUGGCCAGCGUCCGGCUACAUAUUCCCAUCAGUGCAGCGCCUAAAUAUCAAUCACCAUCGUUGUAGUUUUUUUUGCGGGGUCCAUCGUUGUAGUUAGUUUACCUCCAAUAUUUCAUGGAACAAGACGAUCGAGAAAGGUGCAGGGUAUGGAUUUAUGUAGGCACCUGUCGUUUUUUUUUGUUUUUUUAGAAAAGGAGGAUGACCCCCGGUCUCUGCAUCUGGAUGAUGCAUGCGGCCACUUUAUUAAUUAUUCUCACAAGACCAUACAAAGUCAUACAACAGCAAGAUUAAAGCCACCGUCUAAGCAAUAACUGUCGCUACACCUAUCCAAUUGAUGAAGGGGCGUUGAUAGCCUGGGCCUAAUACCAAACAGACAUCACAGCCAAACCUAAGACCUGAGGUCCCAACCAGGACGCCUGCCUGAUAUGGGGCACAUACCAGUCCGAUGCACUCCUCAAGCAGGACGCUUGCCGGGUAUGAGGUCGCCGCAACCACCUGCCACGAGUCCAUCUUCAGAGCUGUACUGUUGCAUCUACCGUGCUAGGUCUCUCUGCCAUCGACGCCACCACGACGCCAGACAGCGCCGUCCUCCUACGCGAGUCCAUCCUCCCACAUUGAACUCUGAAUCUGCACUGCACCAUGUCGUCAAGAUCCGUCGCCAUCAAUGUGUAGGAUGAAGCAUCGCUCCACCAAAGAAGCCGUCCGCUGGUCCCGCGAAGCCGAGUGCACCUCCAAGAAUGCCGCCCCAAAGGGGGUUACGACACAUGAAUGCCGCCAACACCCGAUCAGCUGAUCUAGGGUUUCCCCCGGAGGUAUUGAGUGGAGUUGGGAGCUUCACCUUGAUGAUGCCUUCAUGAAGGAAACGAUGAUAAGGGCAUCGUCAUCACCGGCUCCGGCCAUCAACCGAAGACCAGGUUUUCACCCGGAUCUGUCCCAAGAAAUCCACCCAACAACCUGUGCACCGUCUCGACCGCCUUCAAAGCCCCAGAUCCAGCUGCCUAGAUCCAGUGACCAACCGCAGCAACAGUGCCACCGUGGGAUCCCUGGCGCACCGGCCACUGCCUGAGUGUGCCACCACUGGAGCCUAGGAGGAGGGCUCCCACCCCGCCUCGCCAAGCCAUGAGAGCCGCCGAGAAGGAUCCCGCGCGCUCGUCACCGUCUCUGAUCCGAACCAAUCCAAAGCAGAUUGUCGUCACAGAUCUGCCUUGGACAGGGACUGCACCACGCCAUGCCGCCACCCUCCAGGGCCGCCGCCCCAGGAUCCAGACAGAACCUCGCCGCUGCCACCGGCCAAGUUCUGCCACCGCCGACCGACCACUGCGACCUCCGCCGCCAUGCCGCCAACGGAUCUGGGUGAGGAUAGCCAUCCUCCCCGAGGACACAUGCCGCAGCCUCUUCUCCGCGUACUCGCACGAGAAGCCACCGUGGCCGCGUCCCCACCCCUCGCCGGAUGCCGCGCACGUGCCGCCCCGCCGCCGGCGAAGGCCGCCACCAUGAGGAAACCCGCACGCAACCGCUACACAGCUCGGCGUCGACCCAUCUGCAGCCGCGCCAUGGGUCCGCCGCCGUCAAGAUCGUCGCCGCUGCGCCGCCAGGAUCCGCGCGCCCCGGUGCCUCCGCUCGGCCUGGCCGCUCCCGCAGGCCACAAACACGAGGAGGGGAGAAGGCCCCCGCCGCCAGCCACCGCAGGGGGCUUUGCCCCGGCGGCUCUGGUCGGCAGCGGCGGGGAAGGGGAGGAGGAGGAGGGCUAGCGGCAAGGGGUGGCGGCGCCGCCCGUGUCGCCCGCGGGAGGAGCGACGUGGGGGCUACUAUUCAAGACCAUAUCGUACCCUCUUGUUACUAUUUUCAUCUCCUUAAAAAUGGGAGAGAUUUUCACUUCCCGGCCUCUGCACCAACUAAGGAUGCAUACAACCAUUUUAGUAUGAGUAUCAAGAUAAACAUGGUUCUCAGAAUUUUUUAAAUGAGUAUCAAGAUAUUUCUUGAUGAGUGGUUGCACCACACACCAAGCUUGAUCCUCAAUAAACAGGGGAAAAGCCGUGUGCAUCACCUGUCAAUUCUGGGAAUUGAACUUGGGUCGUUGGGUUGCACAACCGCAUACCCAACCACUGAGCCAAGGCUCUCUCUGCAUGUAGGCACCUGUCGUUGCCUAUGUUUAAGAUCUCCCAUUCAAUUUGUGUUUCGGUAGGCACGCCAAACAUAUGUGUUGGCUCUUCGAGUUGGAACAGAAUUAGAGCACCUCCAAUAGAUGGUCCAAAUAUAAAAAUAACUAACUUUUGGACCGUCAGGGGCAAAAAGAACUGCUCCAACAGACGGUCCAUAUGCAAAAAACAAAUUGGACCGUGGCCUCCUUGUGAUGUAAAAUGCAACACCUCGCGAUGCAAAUAUACAUCACGAGAUGCAUCUGGUCCAAAACCAGCCGCCGCCCGCGAACGCCCAACCGCCACUUCAUUUCCGUUCCCGCCCGCCCGCCCGCGACCUCCCGNNNNNNNNNNNNNNNNNNNNNNNNNNNNNNNNNNNNNNNNNNNNNNNNNNNNNNNNNNNNNNNNNNNNNNNNNNNNNNNNNNNNNNNNNNNNNNNNNNNNNNNNNNNNNNNNNNNNNNNNNNNNNNNNNNNNNNNNNNNNNNNNNNNNNNNNNNNNNNNNNNNNNNNNNNNNNNNNNNNNNNNNNNNNNNNNNNNNNNNNNNNNNNNNNNNNNNNNNNNNNNNNNNNNNNNNNNNNNNNNNNNNNNNNNNNNNNNNNNNNNNNNNNNNNNNNNNNNNNNNNNNNNNNNNNNNNNNNNNNNNNNNNNNNNNNNNNNNNNNNNNNNNNNNNNNNNNNNNNNNNNNNNNNNNNNNNNNNNNNNNNNNNNNNNNNNNNNNNNNNNNNNNNNNNNNNNNNNNNNNNNNNNNNNNNNNNNNNNNNNNNNNNNNNNNNNNNNNNNNNNNNNNNNNNNNNNNNNNNNNNNNNNNNNNNNNNNNNNNNNNNNNNNNNNNNNNNNNNNNNNNNNNNNNNNNNNNNNNNNNNNNNNNNNNNNGCCACCGCCCCGCCCUCCACCGCCCCGCCCGCCACCGCCGCCCCGCAGCUCCGCCACAGCUCCGCCCGCCACCGCUGAGGGAGUCCUGGACUAAGGGGUCCUCGGGCGUCCGGCCUGUUAUCUAUUGGGCUGGACUAAUGGGCUGUGAAGACAUGAAGGCCGAAGACUAUACCUAUGUCCGGAUUGGACUCUACUUGGCGUGGAAGGCAAGCUAGGCGACCAACUAUGAAGAUUCCCUAUUAUGUAACCGACCUCGUGUAACCCUAGAUCUCUCCGAUGUCUAUAUAAACCGGAGAGCAUAGUCUGGAUAGGACAGAUUCAUUACCAUAUAGUCAUAGGCUAGACUUCUAGGGUUUAGCCAUUACGAUCUCGUGGUAGAUCAACUCUUGUAACACUCAUAUUCAUCAAGAUCAAUCAAGUAGGAAGUAGGGUAUUACCUCCAUAGAGAGGGCCCGAACCUGGGUAAACAUUGUGUCCCCUGUCUCCUGUUACCAUCAAUCCUAGACGCACAGUUCGGGACCCCCUACCCGAGAUCCGCCGGUUUUGACACCGACAUUGGUGCUUUCAUUGAGAGUUCCUCUGUGCCGUUGAUGAAAGGCUCGAUGGCCCCUUCAAUCGCCGGUAAUGGCGUCGUUCAGGGAGAAACCUUUCUCCCCGGACAAAUCUUUGUGUUCGGCGGCUUCGUACUGCGGGCCAACUCACUUGGCCAUCUGGAGCGGGUCGAUAGCUACGCCCCUGGCCAUCAGGUUAGAUUUGGAAGCUUCAACUACGUCGUGGAUAUCCGUGGAGACUUGAUCUUUGAUGGAUUGGAAACCGCGGCGAUCGCUCCCCUUCUCUCUGAUGAACAUGACUCAAAUCUGUCAUUAGAGCACACCCAGGAGAUGGAUCCUGUUGCUGCAACGGCCUCAUUACCGAAGCAGAUCAUCCCCUCCGAGGCCAUAAAAUCCGCGGCGUUGGAGCCGCAUACGGACUCGACAUCCUGCAAUGCUGGCAUCAAUGGAACUCCGGACUCGUCUCCGGCUACACGUUCCGGAUCAAGUGCGCCUGCGGACACCGAGCCAGAUCGGUUAUCGAUUUUCGAAUUUAGCGCCGCAGACAUCUUCCAGCAUUCGUCUUUGGGUGAAGUACUAAAUUCUUUGAAGAACUUGUCCUUGGAGGAAGACUCACAGCCGAACUAUGUUCGGUUCGAGCUAGAGGCGGACGACGAGGAAUUUUGCUUCCCACCCGCCACCCACUUCAUAGCCACCGUCGACGACUUAACCGACGUGCUUGACUAUGGCUCCGAAGACAUCGAUGAUAUGGACGACGAUGCCGACAGAGAGCAAGGCCAAGACCCGCCAUUCACUGGACAUUGGACGGCCACCUCUUCCUACGACGUAUACAUGGUGGAUACACCAAAAGGAUCGGGCAACGACCAAGAAGAGCCGGAUAAGAAUAAUCCCUCUGAGCAGUCCAAGCGCCGGCGCCCCAAAUGCCGCUCUAAGCCUCGUCGCUCAAAGGAUGGCACCACUAGCACCGGAGAAAAUAGCACUCCGGGCGACGCCGAAAACAAUGAAGACCCUAUCGCCGCCGCAUCCGAACAGGAAGAACACGACAACACGCAAGACAACCCUAACGAACAGGCCAUAGAAGAUGACCCGGAGGACGAUAGUUAUCAUCCACCCUCCAAGGAGGAUACAAGCCUCGGCAACGACGAUUUCAUCGUGCCUCAAGACCCUCUGGAGCAGGAGCGCUUUAAGCUACAACUCAUAGCCACUGCAAGGAGCCUGAAAAAGAAACAACAGCAGCUUCAAGCCGAACAAGAUCUGCUCGUCGACAGAUGGACUGACGUCCUGACAGCUAAAGAAUACGGCCUCAAACGCCCAGCCAAGAGCUACCCAAAACGCAAACUGCUUCCUCAGUUCGAUGAGGAGGCACCAGAUCCCAUACCUCCCUCGCACAAUGCGGACCGACCACAAUGUGGUCGAGACAGAGCGGCGGACCGGCCACCUCGCGGUCGGGAUAAAACGACAACUAAGGCCAAACAGCAGCCCGCCCCACCGCCUCGCAAAAACAGAGACAGACCAGCUCGGGAUCAUACAUACAAUCUCCGGAAGGAAUUGGACAGUAGAGCAGGACAUACAAGAUCGAUCUACGGAUCGCGAGGCCGUGCCUCAAGGCACGACGACGGCUACCUAUUCCGACGUAACAAACCUAGCCACGCCCGGGCCGAAUACCGCAGAUGGAGUCCAUCAGAGCUAUGCCGCGAUGCGGCCCGGUACAGAGGUGCCGCUCACCCCCUCUGCUUCACAGAUGAAGUACUGGAUCACGAAUUUCCCGAGGGAUUCAAACCCGUCAACAUCGAAUCGUACGACGGCACAACCGAUCCCGCAGUAUGGAUCGAGGAUUUCAUCCUCCACAUCCACAUGGCUCGAGGAGAUGAUCUCCAUGCCAUUAAAUACCUCCCACUCAAGCUCAAAGGGCCAGCUCGGCACUGGCUCAAUAGCCUGCCUGAAAAUUCUAUCGGCAGCUGGGAGGACUUGGAAGAAGCUUUCCUGGACAACUUCCAAGGAACUUAUGUCCGGCCACCUAACGCCGAUGACUUAAGCCACAUAGUUCAACAACCUGGAGAAUCAGCCAGAAAAUUCUGGACUAGGUUCCUAACUAAAAAGAACCAGAUCGUUGACUGUCCGGAUGCCGAGGCACUAGCAGCCUUUAAGCACAGCAUCCGUGACGAAUGGCUAGCACGCCACCUCGGCCUAGAAAAGCCAAAGUCCAUGGCAGCCCUCACGACACUCAUGACCCGCUUUUGCGCGGGAGAGGACAGUUGGCUGGCUCGUAGUAACAACACAGCCAGUGAGACAGGCCCCUCUGAGGCCAAAAAUAGCACUGGCAAGCUCCGGCGCAAUAGGCACAAACGCCGAAACAAUGACAGCAACACCGAUGACACCACAGUCCACGCCGGAUUCAGUGGCUCCAAGUCCGGCCAACGGAAGAAGCCCUACAAAAUAAACAAUGAAGGACCUUCCAGCCUGGACUGCAUACUCGACUGUCCGUGCCAAAUACACGGCACCCCGGACAAGCAAGCCAAUCACGCCAACAGGAAUUGUUGGGUUUUCAAGCAGGCCGGCAAGUUAAAUGCCGAAAAUAAAGAAAAGGGAUCACAAAGUGAGGACGAGGACGAAGAGCCCCGGCAGCCGAACACUGGAGGGCAGAAGAAAUUUCCCCCUCAAGUCAAAACGGUGAGCAUGAUAUACGCUACACACAUCCCCAAAAGGGAGCGUAAGCGAGCACUUAGGGACGUCUACGCGGUAGAGCCAGUCGCCCCAAAAUUCAACCCAUGGUCCUCGUUCCCGAUCACCUUCGAUCGUCGAGACCACCCAACUAGUAUCCGCCACGGCGGUUCAGCCGCACUAGUCCUUGACCCAAUUAUUGAUGGGUUCCACCUAACACGAGUCCUGAUGGACGGUGGAAGUAGCCUCAAUCUGCUCUAUCAAGACACAGUACGGAAGAUGGGCAUUGACCCCUCACAAAUCAAACCAACAAAGACUACCUUCAAGGGAGUCAUACUAGGCGUCGAGGCCCGCUGUACGGGCUCAAUCACACUGGAAGUGGUCUUCGGUUCGCCGGACAAUUUCCGAAGUGAGGAGUUAAUCUUCGACAUCGUCCCAUUCCGCAGCGGCUACCACGCAUUGCUCGGACGAACUGCGUUUGCCAGAUUCAACGCAGUGCCACACUAAGCUUAUCUCAAGCUCAAGAUGCCCGGUCCACGCGGCAUCAUAACAGUCAAUGGCAACACGGAACGCUCCCUCCGAACAGAGGAGCACACCGCCGCCCUAGCAGCAGAGGCACAGAGCGGCCUUCUCAAGCAGCACCAUAGUGCGGCCGCCGAGCCCCGGGACACCAUCAAGAGGUUCCGAACUACACUGCAGCAGGACAACACGACUCGUCAAGAGCUCGAUUAGCAAUCCGGCCUCCGUCCCAGUGCCGAUGAAGUAGUGGCAUUCGUACCAUGCGUACAUAAUUACGCACUCGAAAUUCCAUGGACAUCGACAGAGGCACAAGCUAACCCGGGAUCUGCAGUUCGGCUAGACCGACCCCGGACACACUUUUUCCUUUCUGUUUCAGGUUCCUUUUCCAGCGAGCCUGACCACCAGCCCCUUCGAAGGAUCGGCAUACAAAGGAGGCAUGCAGCAUAGGCACAUAGGGUAACCUCCAUAUGCUCUUCUUGACGGUAUUUUUACUUAUUUCCCAGGACCCGCACGUUGCUCCUUCUUGAUCACGGCAUGUUAAAUAGUCCGGGUGCUUAUCGCACUAUUUGUAUAAGAUACGCCUUGACGUAUCCAUUCAGUUAUAAUAAAAAUGAUUUGCGGCCUAGUUCUGUGGUUUUCGCCUCUUACUUCAUUUUAUUUUGAUCUGCUUAUCAGCUACAUCGGUACUCUUUUGUACGUUUAAUAUUCGCCAGGGGCUGCUCAUCACCCCACAAUACGGCAGCGAAGUCCGAAUACUUUUUAUAUAUAAGUUUGGCGCCCUGAAUUUAGCAUUAUAUGCAUUGGCUCCAAAUCAUGUCUUUGGUCAAUAGUUGGGUUGCCCGGCUCCUGUGCUUGCUACCCUAUGUUCUGCUCUAUCGGCUAGGGUAGUAAAGGGAGAACUACUGCGAUUGUGCCCUGGCCUUGACCGGAUGAGCACCUCAGUAGAGAAAGCCGAAAACUGACUGUCAUGAUACAGCGAGAGCCGAUCAGCUGUUCGAGGGUUAUAAAAUCGUUGGAGAUUUCUUCCGCGUCACGCGAAGGAUCGACACUUCCUCAGACGCUGACAGCAUCCUGGCCUGGACCAGGGGCUGCGCGCGUGCUUAAUUAUAAAACUCCUAUGGCUAAGUGAGGGCGUUUAAGCCGUACAGUCUGGUUGCCUUGUUCGUUGUGCUAAACAACUCCUUCUAAGGACCAUAUAAUUGGAUCAAGAUUGUUUAGAUCCCAUCCCGAACACCUCCGUACUACCUACGUGAGGGCAGAAGCCGACGACUGGCCAACCCUCAGAUUCUAAAUAACACGGCUGCACGGGAGGAAACAAUUCAAGCAUAAUAAUAUUAUAUUCCGGGCUUUGUUUCCAUAAUACAAUGCGUGGGCAACAUGAAUACAUUCAUUCAAAAAUAAUGUCCUGCGAACAUUGAGCUGCCACAAGUCGAGACCCUUCUAGGACAUCCGCAAAAUAUUUCUCGGGUGUGCGGUGCUCCUUGCCCUCUGGCAACUUCAACAGCAUUCAUCUUCGCCCACCACAUCUUGCAACGAGCGAAGGCCAUACGAGCAUCUUCUAUACAGGCGGAGCGCUUGACGACCUCCAGCCGCGGGCAUGCUUCCACUAGCCGCCUCACGAGUCCGAAGUAGCUGCCGGGCAUAGCUUCGGCUGGCCAUAGACGGAUUGCCAAAUCCUUCACGGCUAGCUCGGCCACCCUGUGCAGCUCCACCAGCUGCUUCAGCUGAUUGGUGAAGGACACGGGAUGCCCUGGUGUCGCAUACUGCGUCCAGAAAAGCUUCUCCGUCGAACCUCCUCCUUCGGCUCGGUAGAACUCGGCAGCGUCUAAUACACUACGUGGUAAAUCCGCAAAAGCCCCUGGGGAACUCCGAACCCGGGUUAGUAAAAGGAAUUGCUUCUCCGCAUACUUUCUUUGCAUCUUAAAAGCCUUACCCGCCGUGAUCUUCCUAGCCUCCAGAAUCUCCUAGAGGGCGGCCUGGGCCUCAUUCCGUGCAGUAUCCGCGCUCUGACGAGCCUUGGAGAGUUCGGCCUUUUGAGCCGACGCAUCGUUUCCAAGGUCUCACAUUUUUUCACCGCGUCUUGGAGCUCCUGUUGGACCUCCUUGACUCGAGCCUCGAGCUUUUUCCGAGCGGUUUGCUGCUCGACGGCCUUCCCCUCGGCUUCGGCCAGAGCCUUUUUUAGGGCAUCCACCUCGGUUGCGGCUCCUGCACAUAUUUCGACAUUGCGGUCAGUACGCAACGCUUGUUCUUUCCGAACACACAGCAAGAUGUUACUCACCUUGCUUCUCCUGAAGCCGCAUUGUAACCUCGUCGAGCUCGUUCUCGGUCCGCUCUAGCUUCUGCUUUAAUUCAGAAACUUCGGCAGCAUGCAAGGUCGCGGCCAACAGUGACGCCUGCUUAUGCAUACAUGUUAUGUUAGUCUCCUACAACAAGAGUAUUGAUCCUCUGUCCGGUUCUUCUAUCCGAACACCGGACAGUGUCUCAGGGGCUACUGACUACACGGGGAUUUUUUCUCUUUCUAUAUCAGUUACCUCAAAACCUGUUAACAGGCUGCCGCAGGCCUCAUUCAGUCCGCUCUUGGUGGACAGAACCUUCUCGAUCACCGCACCCAUAAGGACACGGUGCUAAUCUACGACGGAGGCGCUUCGUAGCGUCCCCAUCAGAUCAUCCGACGCUCCUGGAUGGACAGGAGCCAUCGGUGGAGGCGGCACACCCCCCUCCUACAAAGGGAACUGCUCGCCCGACUCCGGAGCCAUAUGGGACUCCGGAACCGUAUUUGGCUGAGGGCCGAUCUAGAUACGGCCCUCUCCGCCAGUCUCCAUGGGGAUUGGAUCCCCCAUGUGUCCGGCAGUGGAGGUCUCGCCUUGUGGCGUCUCCCGAACAACGUCUGGGGCUCCUCCCUUCAGAGCGGUCCUUCGGGACAGCACUUCGGUGUCGUCCCUGGCCCCGGGGGAGUAAGCAGGCGGUGGCGACCUACUCGCCAUCUCCGAUGAAGCCAACGAACCUCCAGAGGAGGAUUGCUGGAUAAGAUCACGGGCCGGACUGCACUGGUGUAGUUAACCAUGUUAAAAUAAUAAAGAGGAAGAGGGGAUGCGCGCAUCCAUAAGCUGUGUCACUGAUAACCCACAAGUAUAGGGGAUCAAUUGUAGCCUCUUUCGAUAAGUAAGAGUGUCGAACCCAACGAGGAGCUAAAGGUAGAACAAAUAUUCCCUCAAGUUCUAUCGACCACCGAUACAACUCUACGCACGCUUGACGUUCGCUUUACCGGAAACAAGUAUGAAACUAGAAGUACUUUGUAGGUGUUGUUGGAUAGGUUUGCAAGAAGAUAAAGAGCGCGUAAAUAUAAACUAGGGGCUGUUUAGAUAAAGACACAACUAAAUUAGUUUUAAUAGAGAGCUUUUUGUUACAACAAAGUUAUUUGUCCCUAGGCAAUCGAUAACUAGACCGGUAAUCAUUAUUGCAAUUUUAUUUGAGGGAGAGGCAUAAGCUAACAUACUUUCUCUACUUGGAUCAUAUGCACUUAUGAUUGGAACUCUAGCAAGCAUCCGCAACUACUAAAGAUCAUUAAGGUAAAACCCAACCAUAACAUUAAAGUACCAAGUCCUCUUUAUCCCAUACGCAAACAACCUACUUACUCGGGUCUGUGCUUCUGACACUCACGCCACCCACCAUAAGCAAAUCAUGAACAUAUUGCAAACCCUACAGCGGGGAUCCCUCACGCUUGCGCGACACGGAGAGCACCAUAUGAAAGCACCAAUAAUAAAACAUGCAACUCAAACCAAUCUUGAUCAUCAAAUAACCCAUAGGACAAAACGGAUCUACUCAAACAUCAUAGGAUAGCCAUACAUCAUUGGGAAAUAAUAUAUAGCGUUGAGCACCAUGUUUAAGUAGAGAUUAUAGCGGGUAAGAGAGAGGUUACACCGCUGCAUAGAGGGGGGAAGAGUUGGUGAUGAUGGCGGUGAAGUUGUUGGUGAAGAUUGCGGUGAUGAUGAUGGCCACGACAGCGUUCCGGCGCUACCAGAAGAGGAGGGGAGAGGGGGCCCCUUCGUCUUCUUCUUCCUUGACCUCCUCCCUAGAUGGGAGAAGGGUUUCCCCUCUGGUCCUUGGCCUCCAUGGCGUAGGAGGGGCGAGAGCCCUCCGAGAUUGGAUCUAUCUCUCUGUCUCUCUCUGUUUCUGCGUUCUCUUCUGGUGCCCUUUCACCGUUUCGUAUAUAUAUGGAGAUCCGUAACUCCAAUUGGCCUGAAACCUUCGCCGUGAUUUUUUUUACCAAAAAUUAGCUUUCUUGCGACCGAAGAAGGGCAUCAACCGCCUUACGGGUGGACCACGAGGGUCAGGGGCGCGCCCCCCUACCUCGUGCCCACCUCGGACACCGUUUCGCGUUGAUCUUUCUCCCAGAUUUUCCAAAUAUUCCAAAAAUAAGCUCCGUCCGUUUUUAUCUCGUUUGGACUCCGUUUGAUAUGGGGUUUCUGCGAAACAUAAAACAUGCAACAAACAGGAACUGGCACUGGGCACUGGAUCAAUAUGUUAGUCCCAAAAAUAAUAUAAAAAGUUGCCAAAAGUAUAUGAAAGUUGAAUAAUAUUGGCAUGGAACAAUAAAAAUUUAUAGAUACGACGGAGACGUACCAGCAUCCCCAAGCUUACUUCCUGCUCGUCCUCGAGUAGGUAAAUGAUAAAAAAGAAAUUUUUUGAUGUGGAAUGCUACCUAGCAUAAUCUUGAUCAUGUAUCUAAUCAUGGGAUGAAUAUUAAGACAUGAGUGAUUCAAAGCAAUAGUCUAUCAUUUGACAUAAAAACAAUAAUACUUCAAGCAUACCAACCAAGCAAUUAUGUCUUAUUGAAAUAACAUAGCCAAAGAAAGCUCAUCCCUACAAAAUCAUAUAGUCUGGCUAUGCUCCAUCUUCACCACACAAAAUAUUCACAUCAUGCACAACCCCUAUGACAAGCCAAGCAAUUGUUUCAUACUUUUGAUGUUUCUCAAACCUUUUCAACUUUCACGCAAUACAUGAGCGUGAGCCAUGGACAUAGCACUAUAGGUGGAAUAGAAUAUGAUGAUGGGGGUUAUGCGGAGAAGACAAAAAGGAGAAAGUUUCACAUCGAUGCGGCUAAUCAACGGGCUAUGGAGAUGCCCAUCAAUUGAUGUCAAUGUGAGGAGUAGGGAUUGCCAUGCAACGGAUGCACUAGAGCUAUAAGUGUAUGAAAGCUCAAACUGAAACUAAGGGGGUGUGCAUCCAACUUGCUUGCUCAUGAAGACCUAGGGCAUUUGAGGAAGCCCAUCGUUGGAAUAUACAAGCCCAGUUCUAUAAUGAAAAUUCCCACUAGUAUAUGAAAGUGAUAACUCAAGAGACACUCUAUAUGAAGAAAAUGGUGCUACUUUUAAGCACAAGUGUGGUAAAAGGAUAGUAACAUUGCCCUUCUCUCUUUUUCUCUCAUUUUUUUUGUUUCCUUUUUUUUCUCUUUUUUUGGCCUUCUCAUUUUUUGGCCUUUCUCUCUUUUUUUAUUUUUUUUAUUUUUUUUCGUCCGGAGUCUCAUCCCGACUUGUGGGGGAAUCAUAGUCUCCAUCAUCCUUUCCUCACUGGGGCAAUGCUCUAAUAAUGAUGAUCAUCACACUUUUAUUUACUUACAACUCAAUAUUACAACUCGAUAUCUAGAACAAAGAUAUGACUCUAUAUGAAUGCCUCCGGCGGUGUACCGGGAUGUGCAAUGAUCUAGCGUAGCAAUGACAUAAAAAAACGGACAAGCCAUGAAAACAUCAUGCUAGCUAUCUUACGAUCAUGCAAAGCAAUAUGACAAUAAAUGCUCAAGUCAUGUAUAUGAUGAUGGAAGUUGCAUGGCAAUAUAUCUCGGAAUGGCUAUGGAAAUGCCAUAAUAGGUAGGUAUGGUGGCUGUUUUGAGGAAGAUAUAAGGAGGUUUAUGUGUGAUAGAGCGUAUCGUAUCACGGGGUUUGGAUGCACCGGCGAAGUUUGCACCAACUCUCGAGGUGAGAAAGCGCAAUGCACGGUACCAAAGAGGCUAGCAAUGAUGGAAGGGUGAGAGUGCGUAUAAUCCAUGGAAUCAACAUUAGUCAUAAAGAACUCACAUACUUAUUGCAAAAGUCUAUUAUCUAUCGAAACAAAGUACUACGCGCCUGCUCCUAGGGGGAUAGAUUGGUAGGAAAAGACCAUCGCUCGUCCCCGACCGCCACUCAUAAGGAAGACAAUCAAUAAACACCUCAUGCUCCAACUUUGUUACAUAACGGUUCACCAUACGUGCAUGCUACGGGACUUGCAAACCUCAACACAAGUAUUUCUCAAUUUCACACUAACCAUGUGAAUGACCAGUUCCUGUCAUCUCUCUAAAUAGAUAUAAGUGAAGCACGAGAGUUUAAUUCUUUCUACAAAAGAUAUGCCCACGCUCUAACAAAUAUAAGUGAAGCAAAAGAGCAUUCUACAAAUGACGGUUGUCUAUGUAAAGAGAAACAGGCAAUCCAAGCUUCAAAUGAUAUAAGUGAAGCACAGGAAGCAUUCUAUAAAGCCAUACUCAAAAGAUAUAAGUGAAGUGCAAUGAGCAUUCUAUAAAUCAACCAAGGACUAUCUCAUACCAGCAUGGUGCAUAAAAGUAAAAGUGAAAACUAAAUGCAAAAGACGCUCCAAGAUUUGCACAUAUCAUAUGAAUGAAACGAAUCCGAAAACAUACCGAUAUUUGUUGAAGAAAGAGGGGAUGCCUUCCGGGGCAUCCCCAAGCUUAGACGCUUGAGUCUCCUUGAAUAUUUACUUGGGGUGCUUUGGGUAUCCGCAAGCUUGAGCUCUUGCCUCUCUUCCUUCUUCUCACAUCGAGACCUCCUCGAUCAUCGAACACUUCAUCCACACAAAACUUCAACAGAAAACUCGGUAAGAUCCGUUAGUAUAAUAAAGCAAAUCACUACUCUAAGUACUGUUGAAAACCAAUUCGUAUUUUGUUUUUUCAUUGUGUCUAAUGUAAUAUAGCUUUUCCAUGGCUUAAUCCACUGAUAUAAAUUGAUAGUUUCAUCAAAACAAGCAAACUAAGCAUCAAAAACAGAAUCUGUCUAAAACAGAACAGUCUGUAAUAAUCUGAACAUUCACCAUACUUCUGUACUUGAACAAUUCUGCCAAAAUUAGGUAAAAUAAAUUUUUUAUAUAUAAAGACAGUGCAAAAAGAAUCAGAACCAUUUGACGUUCCAGUAAAAAAUUAAAAAUCGCGCACUGCAGCCAAAGUUUCUGUCCUGCACCAUACAAACCAACAAGUAUUGUAAACAUCCUAAAGGCAAACCUUGGCAUAUUAUUUUUAUAAUACAAUGGAAUUGUACAAGGGGAUAAUUAUUUUUGUUGAAAAGUUUCUGUAAUCAAGAUUCACAAAGUUGCCGUGAGCAUGAACAAAGUUCAAGGAGCUCUCCCACUUCAACAAUGCUUGUCUUUCUCACUUUCAAUUUUCUUUUUGAAAAGUUUUGGGUUCCCCUCUUUAUUUUUGUUGUUUUUAAAAUAUAUGAAAGCACUCAACAGAAAUAAAUGACUCUCUAAAAAUUCCGGGUUGUCUCCCUGGCAGCGCUUUCUUUAAAUCCAUUAAGCUAGGCAUAUAGUGCUCAAGUAGUGAAUCCACCCGGAUCCCAAGGUAUAUCAAAGCCAAUUUUAAUUAGCAAUGAUUUGUAAUUUAGUAGUGAGAACAAAGUAACAUAUAUCAUGUAAUGACGAAGUCUAACUCUCUUCCUAUGCAUCGGCAUGUCAUAAAAGAACAAUUCAUGCACACAUAGUAAAGGCCAAUGCAUAGCAUAAACAGUUUCUUGCAAUUUUAUCGUGUUGGAAACAUAGAGAGGUGGAGAUAUAGUUCCUCUCUCAUAAUAAUUGCAAGUAGGAGCAGCAAGCACAUGCAUAUAAUAUUCAUCAAAAUCAUCAUGUGCAAUGGUACAAGGCAACCCAUCAAUAUAAUCCUUAAUAAGCACAAACUUCUCCGAUAUAGUGUAGUUUGGAGAAUUCAAAAAGAUAAUAGGACUAUCAUGUGUGGAUGCAAUAGCAACAAUUUCAUGUUUAACGUAAGGAACUAUAGCAAGUUCAUCUCCAUAAGAAUAAUUCAUAUUGGCAUCUUGGCACAAGCAUAGCAAGCAUCAUAAAAAAGGGAAAUUUCAAGAGAAUCAACGGGAUCAUAAUAGUCAUCAUAGCAAUCAUCCUUCGGUAAGCACGAAGGGAAAUUAACCAAUGUAUGAGUUGGAGAGUUACUCUCAUUAGAAGGUGGGCACGGGUAGCUAAUCCGCUCUUCCUUCUUUUGUUCUUCGCUGUCCUCAUCAUCUUUUUCAUCCAAUGAGCUCACAGUUUCAUCAAUUUCUUCUUCCAUAGAUUCCUGCAAAAUAUUAGUCUCUUCUUGGACAGUGGAGACUUUCUCAAUAAGUGCAUUAAUAUCGAAAUUGUAUUCAUAAUUCUCAUAAAAAUAUUUAAGGAUAGCUAAAUUUUCAGGUCUAUAAACCGAAUCAUCAAAAUCUUUAAACAUAGAUUCAAUUUCAUAAGCACCCAUAAAAGCAACAAAUUCUUCUAUUUGUUCCACAUCAUAGUAAUCAUAUAUACCAUUAGCAUAAGAAGCUAAGGUUUUAUUAUCAUUAAAUUCGCAUGGAAAGGGAAGGUGUGGAGACUUCAUCCUAGAGCAACAAGUAUAAUCAUAUCUCAAGCAUAGUUGCCUAGCAUACCAAUACAACAUAUAAAUUUGAUCCCAUAAUAGUUUCCCUUUUUGAGUCAAGCGAUAAUCCCUGAAGUAUUCACGUUGAUCCAACGUUACCCCCAUUACCAAAUUGAAUGGGGUUUUCUCUGGAUUAUCAAAGUAGUACAUAAUAUCUGUCACAUAACAAGCAUCGAGGGUUUUAGGAGGUUCCUCAUCUCCAUGAGCAGCAAGUACACCUAAUUUUUUUUGGUAUUUCGUGUUCCAUAUUCAUAACUAAAGAUAGAGAACAACUAAGAACAGAAAAUAAAAAUUACUUAGUGAUAAAGCAAACAAGCACACACGAGAAUAUUCACCCCACGCUAUUGCUCCCCGGCAACGGCGCCAGAAAAAGGUCUUGAUAACCCACAAGUAUAGGGGAUCAAUUGUAGCCUCUUUCGAUAAGUAAGAGUGUCGAACCCAACGAGGAGCUAAAGGUAGAACAAAUAUUCCCUCAAGUUCUAUCGACCACCGAUACAACUCUACGCACGCUUGACGUUCGCUUUACCGGAAACAAGUAUGAAACUAGAAGUACUUUGUAGGUGUUGUUGGAUAGGUUUGCAAGAAGAUAAAGAGCGUGUAAAUAUAAACUAGGGGCUGUUUAGAUAAAGACACAACUAAAUUAGUUUUAAUAGAGAGCUUUUUGUUACGAGAAAGUUAUUUGUCCCUAGGCAAUCGAUAACUAGACCGGUAAUCAUUAUUGCAAUUUUAUUUGAGGGAGAGGCAUAAGCUAACAUACUUUCUCUACUUGGAUCAUAUGCACUUAUGAUUGGAACUCUAGCAAGCAUCCGCAACUACUAAAGAUCAUUAAGGUAAAACCCAACCAUAGCAUUAAAGUAUCAAGUCCUCUUUAUCCCAUACGCAAAUAACCUACUUACUCGGGUCUGUGCUUCUGACACUCACGCCACCCACCAUAAGCAAAUCAUGAACAUAUUGCAAACCCUACAGCGGGGAUCCCUCAUGCUUGUGCGACACGGAGAGCACCAUAGGACAGAACCAAUAAUAAAACAUGCAACUCAAACCAAUCUUGAUCAUCAAAUAACCCAUAGGACAAAACGGAUCUACUCAAACAUCAUAGGAUAGCCAUACAUCAUUGGGAAAUAAUAUAUAGCGUUGAGCACCAUGUUUAAGUAGAGGUUACAGCGGGUAAGAGAGAGGUUACACCGCUGCAUAGAGGGGGGAAGAGUUGGUGAUGAUGGCGGUGAAGUUGUUGGUGAAGAUUGCGGUGAUGAUGAUGGCCACGGCAGCGUUCCGGCGCCACCGGAAGAGAAGGGGAGAGGGGGCCCCUUCAUCUUCUUCUUCCUUGACCUCCUCCCUAGAUGGGAGAAGGGUUUCCCCUCUGGUCCUUGGCCUCCAUGGCGUGGGAGGGGCGAGAGCCCCUCCGAGAUUGGAUCUAUCUCUCUGUCUCUCUCUGUUUCUGCGUUCUCUUCUGGUGCCCUUUCAUCGUUUUGUAUAUAUAUGGAGAUCCGUAACUCCAAUUGGCCUGAAACCUUCGCCGUGAUUUUUACCAAAAAUUAGCUUUCUUGCGGCCGAAGAAGGGCAUCAACCACCUUACGGGUGGACCACGAGGGUUAGGGGCGCGCCCAGGAAGGUGGGGCGCGCCCCCUACCUCGUGCCCACCUCGGACACCAUUUCGCGUUCAUCUUUCUCCCAGAUUUUCCAAAUAUUCCAAAAAUAAGCUCCGUCCGUUUUAUGCCGUUUGGACUCUGUUUGAUAUGGGGUUUCUGCAAAACAUAAAACAUGCAACAAACAGGAACUGGCACUGGGCACUGGAUCAAUAUGUUAGUCCCAAAAAUAAUAUAAAAAGUUGCCAAAAGUAUAUGAAAGUUGAAUAAUAUUGGCAUGGAACAAUAAAAAAUUAUAGAUACUACGGAGACGUAUCAGUCACUCACGAGGCGGCCUGAGGCUUAGUGCGGGGGUGUCGAUCCGGACUGCUGUCAACGUCCCAUGCGGUGUUGGCCGCUGGGACGCCCUUCCCCUUCUUGGGCGCUUCCUCCUUCGGAUGCGCUGAAGCCGCCCUCUUCUUCUUCUUCUUCUCAGGGGGAGGAUUGUUUUCUUCCUCCUCCUCUUCUUCCUCGUCAUCGUCUUCAGGGACGGAGGAAUGGGUCUCGUCGUCUUCGGACGGCGCGUCCGAAGCGCCCUGACGAUGGGGGCCACUCUUGGCCCCCUUGGCUUUCCCCUUGGCCUUCUUCUCCAGCGCCUUAUAUGGCACCGGUACCAGCAUCUUCGCUAAACGCGGGAUGACUGGUUCUUCCGGCAAUGGAGCCGGACACUGGAUCCACGUCGCCCUCUCCGUCCAGUCCUAAAAGAGCAAUAAUAAAAGCUCAGGCACCGCCCAUGCAACAAACAGGCAGGGAAUGCACUAAAAAGACAUACCUCACUAGCAGGAUGCUUAGCGUCGUGUCCACGAUCGGAAUCUGCGGCCAGCGGUUUUUCGUUGCCCUUAAAUAGCAACUUCCACGCGUCCUCGUGAGUAGUCCCGAAGAGCAUUACCAAGGUCAGGUGCUUCUUCGGAUUGAACUCCCACAAAGGGCAGCUUCGGCGUUGGCACGGGAGAAUCCGGCGAACUAACAUCACCUGGAUUACAUCUACGAGCUUGACGUCCUUGACUAUCAUGCUUUCAACGCGCGUCUGCAGCGCUAUUACCUCGUCGGACGAACCCCGGUCGGGGCUCUUCUCGACCCAAGAGGUGAGCCGCAUGGGAGCACCAGAGCGGAAUUUGGCAGCCGCGGCCCAGGUGGUGCCGCAGGGUUCUGUGUUGAGAACCAUUGUCUCUGCCACUCGUUCACUGUCUCCACAAAAAUGCCUUUCGGCCAGGAGACGUUGGGCAGCUUGCUCACCAUGGCUGCUCCGCACUCCGCGUGCUGGCCGUCUACCACCUUCGGCUUCACGUUGAAGACUUUGAGCCACAACCCGAAGUGGGGGUGAAUGCAGAGGAAGGCCUCGCACACGACGAUAAACGCUGAAAUGUUGAGGAAAUAAUUCGGGGACAGAUUAUGGAAAUCCUCCCCGUAGUAAUAUAUCAGCCCGCGGACGAAGGGGUGGAUGGGGAACCCCAGCCCGCAGAAGAAAUGAGGGAGGAAUACUACCCUCUCGUUGGGCUCCGGCGUGGGAAUGAUUUGCCCCUCGGCCGGCCAGCGGUGGGCGAUUCCCUUCGCCAAAUAUCCGGCCGCCCGGAGCUCAGUAAUGUCCUCCUCCGCGACGGAGGAGACCAUCCACUUGCCCUGACCACCAGAUCCGGACAUGGUUGCUUGAGUGGAAAGGAGAUUGGAACUUGGGCGCUGGAGCUCGAAGAUCGGGAAGGCAGAGAUAGAGAGAAAGCGUGAGAAGAGGAAGGGGGAAUCCUUAUCUCCUUAUAAAGGUAGCCAAUAUUAAACGCCUCCUCACUCGCCUUGAGAUUCGCCUAUUCCCAAGGGCCGUGCAGAUGGCACGGUUGGGUUACCCAUGCCUGCAUUGAUGAGAAUCCCGCGAUAAGGGGACACGAUCUCUGCUUCGACGAGACAUGCCAAUAGCAACCACGUCUCGAAAUGUGGGGUGGCAGAUGAAAAACGGUUCGAUUAUGAUCGGGCAGACGCAAUGUCGUGUUUCGAAGAGCUGUCAACAGAUUAGAUUCGUGACAGUAUUAUAUCCUCUCUGCGGUUGUGUGUGGAACAUGUUACAGGUCCGGAUACAAUCAUCACAUCCGAAGACUAUCAUGGAGUUCGGAGGAAGGGGAACCCACCUUGCAAUGCCGAAGACAAUCUGCACACCGGACUCCUCGUCAUUGAAGCCAGGUUCAGGGGCUACUAAGGGAGUCCUGUAUUAAGGGGUCCUCGGGCGUCCGGCCUGUUAUCUAUUGGGCCGGAGUAAUUGGCUGUGAAGACAUGAAGGCCGAAGACUAUACCUAUGUCCGGAUUGGACUCUACUUGCUGUGGAAGGCAAGCUAGGCGACCAACUAUGAAGAUUCCCUAUUAUGUAACUGACGUCGUGUAACCCUAGAUCUCUCCGGUGUCUAUAUAAACUGGAGAGCAUAGUCCGGAUAGGACAGAUUCAUUACCAUAUACUCAUAGGCUAGACUUCUAGGGUUUAGCCAUUACGAUCUCGUGGUAGAUCAACUCUUGUAACACUCAUAUUCAUCAAGAUCAAUCAAGCAGGAAGUAGGGUAUUACCUCCAUAGAGAGGGCCCGAACCUGGGUAAACAUUGUGUCCCCCGUCUCCUGUUACCAUCGAUCCUAGACGCACAGUUCGGGACCCCCUACCCGAGAUCCGCCGGUUUUGACACCGACAACCGCCCCGGCCGCACGCCGCUCCACCGCUCUCCAAUGGCGCCAAAGAAGACACCGAAGGGCAAGUCGGGCUUCUUCGGCGUGAGGCAGAAGCCCUCCGGCAACUGGGGUGUGGAGUUCUCCGAUGCCGGAAGGCGUUGGUGGAUCGGCACGUACCCCUCCGCCCACGAGGCCGCGCAUGCCUACGACGUGGCGGUGUGGCGUGCCAAGAGGCCUCGGUCGCACCUCAACUUUCCAGAGAUCGAGAGUCGGGCGGAAGCGGAGAUGCUAGUGCCGCAGGGCAUCAACAUGAAGGAGAUCACGACGAAAAAGAAGAAGACGAAGAAGCCGUCGGUUGUCGUCAUUGCUGGCGAGACUGAUGAGGAGGCGAUGGCGAGGUUUGCUCGGGAGCAUCCGGAGUACGUCCAGGCUGAAAUGGAGUACUACUGGAUGCGUGAGGCGGAGCAGAAGAAGAAGGGGCCGAAGGAGGAUGAGGCCGGUCCCUCGACGGUGAUCCCCAUCGAGUCCUCUUCCGAGGAGGACUGGGAAGACUUCUCGGAGGAGGAGGAGGAGGAGGGGUGCGACGACCCGAUGAAGGAGGAGUUCUGGGAGCAGUUCCGUAGCUCCGAUGAGGAGUAGUUUAUCUAGUAGUUUGAAUAAGUAGUAGUUGAAGUUGAUGUAUGAAACUAUGUUAAAUUUGAUGUUUGAACUAUGUUGAAUGGACUAGUAGUAUGUCGUUUUACAUCUUCAUUUUGGACCAUCUAUUGGAGUUGCUCUUUUGGACCAUCAAUUUGGAACAUCUAUUGGAGUUGAGCUUUUUUCGGAGCUCCAAAAUGCACUUUUUGACGGUCCAAAUUUUACAUCUUCGGUUUUGGACCGCCAAAUUUUGGACCAUAUAUUCGAGAUGCUCUUAAUGCAUGAUCGAGCCUGCAUCAAACCUCUUUUAUUCUUCACCUAAACCACACACACUUUCCUUUUGUUAUUUCUAUAUAAGCAGUACACGAUGCUGGGAUGAGGUUCAUAGCUCUUUUUGUUUUUGGAUUAAUCUCAACAUGAAAAUAUGUAAAAGUAACUUGACCAAAUAGAUAUACCAUUGUCAACCUUGCUGCCAAAAUCCUGAAUCACACAGUCUAUGUUGACCCCGCAUGCAUUUGGCAUGUAGGAAUGGGAAGCACUGAACCACACACACCCAUUGCGUUGUUCUAGAUUUUUGAGAAAGAUACACCCUUGGCCCUUAAAGGUAGGAACAUUUCAGUCCAUUUUACCUCUAAAUAGUGAAAUCUGUUGGGAUUUGUUAGUAGGCCUUUGGCCCAAAGCCCAACUAAAUUUCUGAAAUUCUCAUGGCCCAUUCAUGCAUGGUUGUGAGUGGUGUGAGUGAGACUAAGUUUAGUCCCACCCCGAAAGUUGAGUGGGAGUUGCACCUCUUUAUAAGGUGAACUCUUCUAUCACUUGUAAGAGCAUGAGAAGAGGAGACCUACAUGCGCGCUCCUCCUCCUCCUCACUCGCCAUGCCGCCAAGCCACGUGUCGGCGUGCACCGCGAGAAGGGACAGCAGGCCUCCGAAACCCCGCUUCUCAUGAUCCUGUACGGGAGAGGGGCCGAUCAGGUUUCUGGGGAGAGCGACUGCUCGGUGCUGCUCCCGUUGCACCGUAUGUGAUUCUGUCCUUCUUGUUCGAGAUCGUGGUAGAAUUCAUGUUUCUAGUAUGUGCCCUAGAUUCGAUCUUUUCAUCUACUAUGAUACUCUGCAUGAUUAGUUCAAUCUCUGUUAUUGCUGUCAUGAUUUAUUUUGUGCUGAUCGUAGGCAAAUUACUCCGAGUGGUUUUGCUGCGCAUCUAAAGCUGUUGGGGAACAUAGUAAUUUCAAAAAAAUUCCUACGCACAUGCAAGAUCAUGGUGAUGCAUAGCACCGAGAUGGGAGAGUGUUGUCUACGUACCCUCGUAGAUCAAAAGCGGAAGCGUUAUGACAACGCGGUUGAUGUAGUCGUACGUCUUCACGAUCCGACAGAUCCUAGUACCGAAAGUACGGCACCUCCGCGAUCUGCACACGUUCAGCUCGGUGACGUCCCACGAACUCUUGAUCCAGCUGAGUGUCGAGGGAGAGCUUCAUCAGCACGACGGCGUGAUGACGGUGAUGAUGAAGCUACCGGUGCAGGGCUUCGCCUAAGCACUGCAACAAUAUGACCGAGGUGGAUUAUGGUGGAGGGGGGCACCGCACACGGCUAAGACAAUGUCUGUUGUUGUGUUCUAGGGUGCCCCCUGCCCCCGUAUAUAAAGGAGCAAGGGGGGAGGCCGGCCGGCCCUUGGGCGCGCUAAGGAGGGGAGGAGUCCUCCUCCUAGUAGGAGUAGGACUCCCCCUUUCCUAGUCCUACUAGGAGGGGGGAAGGGGAAAGGAAGGAGAGGGAGAGAGGGAGGGAAAGAGGGGGUGCUGAGGGAGUCCUGGACUAAGGGGUCCUCGGGCGUCCGGCCUGUUAUCCAUGGGCCGGACUAAUGGGCUGUGAAGACAUGAAGGCCGAAGACCGUACCCGUGUCCGGAUAGGACUCUCCUUGGCGUGGAAGGCCAGCCUUUGCGACCAACUAUGAAGAUUCCUUCUUAUGUAACCGACUCUAUGUAACCCUAGAUCCCCCCGGUGUCUAUAUAAACCGGAGGGUGUAGUCCGGAAAGGAUAGACUCAUUACCAUAGUCAUACAUGCUAGACUUCUAGGGUUUAGCCAUUACGAUCUCGUGGUAGAUCAACUAUUGUAAUACUCAUAUUCAUCAAGACCAAUCAAGCAGGAAGUAGGGUAUUACCUCCAUAGAGAGGGCCCGAACCUGGGUAAACAUCGUGUCCCCUGUCUCCUGUAACCAUCGACCCUAGACGCACAGUUCGGGACCCCCUACCCGAGAUCCGCCGGUUUUGACACCGACAUUGGUGCUUUCAUUGAGAGUUCCACUAUGACGUCGACGACAGGAUCGAUGGCUCGCCUUGUCCUUAAAGACAACAUCACCUCCGGGGGAGUAUUGGCCCCGGGCCAAACCCUCCGGAUGGGCGGCUUUACCAUGAUCGCCCGUUCGGCCGUUGAGCCGACGAUGACCUCUCGGGCCAUCGAAAAUCCCCUUCGCAUCAACUCCGAACACUCCAAGCAGAUGGAUCCGGCAGAGUUUUCAUCCUUGAACGACCUCCUAGAUCGCAUCACCGCUUUGGGAAUCACCAUAGAUUACGAUCGGAUCGGGCCUAAAACCGAUCAAGGAGAAAUCAAAACUCCACCAGUCACCUGCCAGAUAGCGGUAGUGGAGGAGCAGGACGGCGAGUCUUCUUCUAUAUCAAAGACGGACUAUGUUCGGAUCGCCGAUCAGGAAGAACCGGAUACCCACCAGCGAAAGGAUGCGACCAUCCCUCUGAACAUAGAAUCGGACGGCAGUCCUAAACAAUCAGAAGAUACUCCGAAGCCCGGACUGUUGAGUCUGGAAGGUCUUCAGACUCCGGAUAAUCGGUCAGGUCAGGGUUCGGAUUUAAUUCCGCCCACCCACCCGGACAUAGACGCUCUCAUGAGCAUAAAACAACAGUCUCAGGAAAUGGUCCACCACUUCUGGGCCAGAUUCCUCCUUGUCAAAUACAAGGUAAAAGAUUGCCGCGACGAGGACGCGAUAUCAGCGUUCUGCAACAAUUGCGUGGACGAAGGAAUCCUCAACGCCAUCAAUCGCCGCCGCAUACUGAAGUUCGCUGACUUAGCAAUUAUUGUACAGAAGUACAACGUGAUGGAAAGCGCCUGGAAAACUCAGGCAGCUUGCUGGGAACCGUUGGUCCCAACUCAACUCCUCCUACAGACGAUGAGGGCGCACCCCCGUGGCACGCCCAGUCCAACAAUCAAGAAACAUAAACCCAUUACGUGGCACGGCACCGUUCUGGAGGGAUGGCUCGAUGGCCCAUGCAAAAUACACACGACACCAGAUACUGUGGCAACCCACAGCCUUAGAGCUUGUUGGAUACUCCGGCAGGUAGCCAAGAGCGGCGAGGACAUCCUCAUCAAGGACACCCCAGAACAGCACGCUCCAGAAAACAACGACACAAGAGUAUUUACGGUCUACGAGACAUUUGCUUCAAACAACAAGCGAAAAAGGGCACUUCACGACCUCGCCGAAGUCUGCCAAAUCGCUGCAAUAAACCCUUGGAACGACACGGCUAUAACAUUUAAUGCCGAUGAUGAACCAAAGUACAGGACAGUCCGAGUGCCAGCCGCAUUAGUCCUCAGUCCCACCAUGGACGGGUUUCGACUUAAGGUCCUCAUGGACGGCGGCAGCGGACUAAACCUCAUUUAUCAGGACACACUCCACAAAAUGGAAAUAGACAGGAGCCGCAUCAAGCAAAGUAGCACAACCUUCUGAGGAAUCAUUCCCAGUCGAGAGGCGCGAUGCGCGGGAAAAAUCACACUUGACUUGGUAUUUGGCACGCCAGAGAAUUAUCGGUCCGAAGAAAUCACUUUCCAAGCGGCCCCUUUCAGCAGCGGAUACCACGCCCUGUUGGGGCGGGAUGCUUUUACACGCUUCCAAGCUAUACCUCAUUACGGGUAUAUGAAGCUCAAAAUGCCCGGACCAAAUGGUAUAAUCACUCUCGUCAGUGAUCCGGACAUAGCACUCCGCGCUGAAAACAAAACCGCAUCCCUGGCCCUUGAGGCGCUAUCCGAAGCCCUCGCGGCUGAAGAAUUAACCGCACUGCGCUCCACGGUGGACAGGGACGAUGUGAUCCUCGACAAACGCCCUAAAUCCACCUCCUUCAAACCAGCAGAAGAAAUAGUCAAAUUCCAGGUCCACCCAACGGACCCCAAGAAGACAGCAUCUAUCGGAGCGCAACUGAACCCAACAGUCGACGCCGCACUGCGAGAAUUCCUGCGCGAAAACUGGGACAUAUUUGCCUAGCACCCUUCAGAUAUGCCAGGGAUCCCACGCAAGCUGGCCGAACAUAGCCUCAAUAUAUUAAAGGGAUUUAAACCGGUCAAGCAAACAUUGCGGCACUUUUCCGAACCCAAGCGACAAGCCAUGGGGGAGGAGCUGGCCAAGCUUAUCGAAGCCGGAUUCAUUAGAGAAAUCAAACAUCCGGACUGGCUGGCAAACCUGGUGAUGGUACCAAAGAAGGACAAAUCCUGACGCCUGUGUGUCAGUUUCAAAGACCUCAACAAGGCUUGCCCUAAGGAUCCCUUCCCCCUCCCCCGCAUUGAUCAAAUCAUUGACGCCACCGCAGGACACGACUCACUGUGUUUCCUCGAUGCAUAUUCCGGAUACCAUCAAAUCAAAAUGAAGGAGUCCGUUCAAGCUGCAACAACAUUUAUUACCCCUUAUGGGCCAUUCUACUUCAACACCAUGCCUUUCGGGCUCAAGAACACCGGCGCCACAUACCAACGCAUGAUUCAAACAUGCCUGGAGAAGCAGAUCGGCAAAACAGUAGAAGCUUACGUUGAUGACGUCGUCAUCAAAACUAGGCACGUUGAAACACUAAUAGAUGACUUACCUCUUACAUUCGACAACCUCCGUGCGUAUGACAUUAAACUCAACCCGGAAAAGUGUGUCUUCGGCGUCCCCGCUAGAAAACUGCUGGGCUUCAUCGUUUCCAAUAGAGGAAUAGAAGCAAAUCCAGCUAAAAUCCGAGCUCUGUCACAGUUGGCUACGCCAACAGACCUCAAACAAGUCCAAAAACUAGUUGGUUGCAUGGCAGCGUUAAGUCGCUUUAUCUCCAGAUUAGGAGAAAAGGCACUACCACUCUAUCGCCUCUUACGGCGCACCGAUAACUUCGAAUGGACAGACGCGGCGACUGCCGGACUGGAGAAAAUAAAGGCCCUCCUAGCAAGCAAACCAAUCCUGGCCGCACCAAACGCUGGCGAACCCAUGUUGCCAUACAAAUCGGCAACACAUCAGGUGGUGAGCGCCGUGCUCGUCGUCGAACGAGAAUAGGACGGACACAAAUUCCCACUUCAAAAACCAGUAUACUACGUAUCUACUGUCCUCACACCAUGCAAAUCCCGGUACCCCCAUUACCAAAAGAUAGCAUAGACGGUCUUCAUGGCAUCCCGAAAGCUACGACACUACUUCCAGGAGUGUUCAAUCACGGUGGCUUCUGAAGUCCCACUCAAUGACAUAAUAAACAACCGCGACGCCACGGGACGGAUCACCAAACGGGCCAUAGAGCUACUUCCAUUUGACAUAACAUACAAGCCACGUCGAGCCAUCAAAUCCCAAGUACUGGCUGACUUCGUCGCCGAAUGGACGGAGGCCGAACUCCCUAAAGAGUACGAUGCAUAUUCCAAUUGGGUUACGUAUUUUGACGGCUCCAAAAUGCUGGCGGGGCUAGGAGCGGGAGUCGUGUUAACAUCCCCCACGGGAGAUGUCGUCCUGUAUGUACUCCAAAUACUAUACAGAGACUCCAACAACGCAGCCGAAUACGAGGCCCUAUUGCAUGGUCUUCGGAUGGCCGUAUCCAUGGGCAUACAACGCCUAGAGGUGCGCGGGGAUUCAAACCUUGCAAUAUCUCAAAUAAAUGGAGACUUUGAUGCCAAAGAUCCAAAGAUGGCAGCUUAUCGUAAUGCCAUCUUAAAAAUAUCGGCUCGGUUCGAGGGGCUCGAAUUUCAUCACGUCGCCCGGGAGAGUAAUCAGGCAGCGGACGUCCUUGCUCGCAUCGGCGCCAAGCGUGACCCCGUUCCACCCAACAUUUUCCUGGAAAGGCUUUUCAAGCCAUCCGUGGUGUGGCAAGGGGAGGGCGGCAACAACAGUCAAGAUUCUAAUACAACCCCAAAUCCCGAACACACGAUAGUAUCAGGGGCUCAGCCAACGAAAUAACACCAUCGGCCCAUCUCAUUAUGGCAGUCAUUUCCCCAUGGACCGAACCCUUCUUGGCCUACAUUAAUAGGAAGGAGCUUCCCGAAGACCAGAAUGAGGCUCGCCGCAUUAUCCGACGUUCGAAAGCCUACAAGGUUCACGACCGAGAGCUCUACAAGAAAAGUACUACCUGAGUACUUCAAAGAUGUAUCUUCGAAGAAGAGGGGCGGCAGCUUUUAGCGGAAAUUCACACUGGUUUCGGCGGACACCACGCCGCAGCUCGGGCCCUUGUUAGCAAGGCCUUCCGUACUGGGUUUGAUUGGCCGACAGCCCGAGCAGACGCGCAAGACCUUGUCCAACGCUGCGUCGGAUGCAAACUCUUCCCCAACCAAAGCCACAUGCCCCCAACUGCCUUAAAAACUAUCCCCAUUACUUGGACUUUCGCGGUCUGGGGACUGGAUAUGGUUGGACCCCUUAAAGGGGGAAGCCAUAAGAAAAAAUAUCUGCUGGUCAUGGUGGACAAAUUCACUAAGUGGAUAGAGGCUAAACCGGUCAAAACGGCUGAGUCCGGCCCAGUGAUAGAAUUCAUAUCCGGUGUUGUGCACCGUUAUGGUGUCCCACACAGCAUCAUCACCGACAACGGCUCUAAUUUCACAGCCGAUGAGGUAAAAACUUGGUGUGCUAAUCUUGGCAUUAAACUCGAUUACGCCUCCGUCUACCACCUGCAAACCAACGGUCAAGCCCAGACUAGUGCGGUCUUUGAGAGAAUCAGACAAGCACUGGGUUGAGGAGCUUGACUCCGUACUCUGGGGGAUGCGGACCACGCCCAACCGUACUACCGGAUACACACCUUUCUUCAUGGUGUAUGGCGCGGAGGCUGUAUUACCCUGCGAUAUUAUCCACGACUCACCUCGAGUGCGUAUGUACGAAGAGAGAGAAGCCGAGCUUGAUCGGAAGGACAACCUAGAUGCCCUGGAAGAGGAGCGCGAUGUCGCACAAGCCCGUUCAGCAUUUUACCAACAACAGGCUCAAAGAUAUCAAAGCAGAGAAGUACGGGCCAAGACCUACAACAUUGGCGAACUCGUUCUACGCCUGCUGGAGAAGAAAAAGGACAAACUCAAGCCCAAAUGGGAGGGUCCUUUCAUAAUUGACGAAGUUCUCACCGGAGGGGCGUACCGUCUUCGCGAUGCAUCAGACAAUCGCCUCGAGACGAACCCCUGGAACGUGACCAGACUCCGAAGAUUCUAUGCCUAGCGCCGAACUCCUUGUUCGUCUCCUUCUCCCCUGUAGUUUCCAUUAUUUUCUCUCUUUUCCGAUUACUUUUUUCUUUCUUGCUUUAAAGCUUUCGUAUGGCUAGACCGCACACCCCUGACGCAUACAUUUUUAAAUAUGUACGUCCAUUAUACCUGGGGGCUUCUCGGACAGAAGCUUUUUAUUAUUAUUCCUUGAGCAUCAAGCUCUUCACAUAUGAGUUUUUCCAUAUGUACCUUUUCUUCGCCACUAUAUGCAUCGAUAUGACUUAAGUUUCGGCCAAGCUGGGUUGCCUGGCUCCUGUGCUUAUGCCCUACGUUCCCGUUAGUUCGGCUAGGGCAUAAAGGGAGCACCUCUGCGAUUGUUACUGCCGGGUCAUCCAGAUGUGUACCUCAGACUGGGUGAAGCCGAAAGCUAGCAUUCUUAAGGGAAUAUUCGGUCGGUGAAUUAAAGAUGUUUUUUGCACUCACUCCAUUGUGAACCCCCAGAAGCUAUACACACUGUGAUUUUCACAUCACAAUUCGGACAUGUAUACUAAUGAUGCACACCAACGGAAAGGAACCCUUAAAAUUUCAAUGUAAUAUAACAUAGCUAGCCGGAUAAAACUUGUCUGUUCAAUUAACUAUGACCCCUAUGCCUAGUUUUCGCGCAUACCCCGGUCUAUUCGACCCUGCGGGUAUUCGGAAACACUCCGCACCUUCGGGUCCGGAGGUUGAAGCGAAAAGGUCUGCCAUGGCAAAUGCUAUACAAUUCAGCUAGAGUUAUAUAUCAAGUUGAAGGCAUUGAAUGUCUCUUCCGAGAACUUGGGGUCUCGUAAGACAGCCCUGCAGCGCCGAGUUGGUAACGGACAUGUCUUCCGAGCCCUCGUCUCAAGGACAGUCCGGCGUUGUCCCUAUAGGGGCCCUCACCUCUCUGGUGGGAUCUAAAUCCCGGUUGUUGGGAGUGCGACCGGCCGAAUCCCCGGACAUAGUCCGGUGAACCUUUUUCCUGAUACAGGACCAACAUAACGAUCACCGUUGGGUACGACUGCCAAAGCAUACCUUCAAACCCAUACCUCUUCGACGAAGGACCGGCCUUGUCUUCGCCGACCUUCCUUUUCGAGGACUGCUUCCUCUUGAGCACUGCAUUGUUUUUCCCCUGAAGAGGAAAGGGUGAUGCAGUAAAGUAGCGUAAGUAUUUCCCUCAGUUUUUGAGAACCAAGGUAUCAAUCCAGUAGGAGACCACGCUCCAGUCCCACGCACCUACACAAACAAAUAAGAACCUCGCAACCAACGGGAUAAAGGGGUUGUCAAUCCCUUCACGGUCACUUACGAGAGUGAGAUCUGAUAGAGAUGAUAAGAUAAUAUUUUUGGUAUUUUUAUGAUAAAGAUGAAAAGUAAAAUAAAUGGCAAUAGAAAUAGCUAAGUGUUGGAAGAUUAAUAUGAUGGAAAAUAGACCCAGGGUCCAUAGGUUUCACAAGUGGCUUCUCUCAAGAUAGCAUAAGUAUUACGGUGGGUAAACGAAUUACUGUCGAGCAAUUGAUAGAAUUGAGCAUAGUUAUGAGAAUAUCUAGGUAUGAUCAUGUAUAUAGGCAUCACGUCCGCGACAAGUAGACCGAAACGAUUCUGCAUCUACUACUAUUACUCCACACAUCGACCGCUAUCCAGCAUGCAUCUAGAGUAUUAAGUUCAUAAGAACAGAGUAAUGCUUUAAGCAAGAUGACACGCUGUAGAGGGAUAAACUCAUGCAAUAUGAUAUAAACCCCAUCUUUUUAUCCUCGAUGGCAACAAUACAAUACGUGCCUUGGUGCCCCUGCUGUCACUGGGAAAGGACACCGCAAGAUUGAACCCAAAGCUAAGCACUUCUCCCAUUGCAAGAAAGAUCAAUCUAGUAGGCCAAACCAAACUGAUAAUUCGAAGAGACUUGCAAAGAUAACCAAUCAUACAUAAAAGAAUUUAGAGGAGAUUCAAAUACUGUUCAUAGAUAAACUUGAUCAUAAACCCACAAUUCAUCGGAUCUCGACAAACACACCGCAAAAGAAGAUUACAUCGAAUAGAUCUCCAAGAGAAUCGAGGAGAACUUUGUAUUGAGAUCCAAAGAGAGAGAAGAAGCCAUCUAGCUAAUGACUAUGGACCCGAAGGUCUGAGGUAAACUACUCACACAUCAUCGGAGAGGCUAUGGUGUUGAUGUAGAAGCCCUCCGUGAUCAAUGCCCCCUCCGGCGGAGCGCCGUAAAAGGCCCCAAGAUGGGAUCUCACGGGUACAGAAGGUUGCGGCGAUGGAAAUAGGGUUUUGGCUCUGUAUAUGAUGUUUCCAGGGUAUAUGGGUAUAUAUAGGAGGAAGAAGUACGUCGGUGGAGCAACGAGGGGCCCACGAGGGUGGAGGGUGCGCCUAGGGGGGGUAGGCGCCCCCUACCUCGUGGCUUCCUCGUCUGUUGCUUGACGUCCACUCCAAGUCCUCUGGAUCACGUUUGUUCCAAAAAUCACGUUCCCGAAGGUUUCAUUCCGUUUGGACUCCGUUUGAUAUCCUUUUCCUUCGAAACACUGAAAUAGGCAAAAAAAACAACAAUUUGGGCUGGGCCUCCGGUUAAUAGGUUAGUCCCAAAAAUAAUAUAAAAGUGUAUAAUAAAGCCCAUUAAACAUCCAAAACAGUAUAUAAUAUAGCGUGGAACAAUACAAAAUUAUAGAUACGUUGGAGACGUAUCAAGCAUCCCCAAGCUUAAUUCCUGCUCGUCCUCGAGUAGGUAAAUGAUAAAAACAGAAUUUUUGAUGUGGAAUGCUACCUAGCAUAAUUUUCAAUGUAACCCUCUUAAUUGUGGUAUGAAUAUUCAGAUCCGAAAGAUUCAAGAUAAAAGUUUAAUAUUGACAUAAAAGUAAUAAUACUUCAAGCAUACUAACUAAGCAAUUAUGUCUUCUCAAAAUAACAUGGCCAAAGAAAGUUCAUCCCUACAAAAUCAUAUAGUUUGGUCAUGCUCCAUUUUCGUCACACCAGAAUGCUCUCAUCAUGCACAACCCCGAUGAUAAGCCAAGCAAUUGUUUCAUACUUUAGUAAUCUCAAACUUUUUUCAACUUUCACGCAAUACAUGAGCGUGAGCCAUGGAUAUAGCACUAUGGGUGGAAUAGAAUAUAAUGAUGGGGGUUAUGUGGAGAAGACAAAAAAGGAGAAAGUCUCACAUCAACGCGGCUAAUCAAUGGGCUAUGGAGAUGCCCAUCAAUUGAUGUUAUUGUGAGGAGUAGGGAUUGCCAUGCAACGGAUGCACUAGAGCUAUAAAUGUAUGAAAGCUCAACAAAAGAAACUAAGUGGGUGUGCAUCCAACUUGCUUGCUCACGAAGACCUAGGGCAUUUGAGGAAGCCCAUUGUUGGAAUAUACAAGCCAAGUUCUAUAACGAAAAAUUCCCACUAGUAUAUGAAAGUGACAAAACAAGAGACUAUCUAUCAUAAGGAUCAUGGUGCUACUUUGAAGCACAAGUAUGGAAAAAGAUAGUAGCAUUACCCCUUUUUCUUUUCUUUUUUUGGCCUUUUUUUGGGACAAUGCUCUAUGAAUGAUGAUCAUCACACUUCUAUUUAUUUACAACUCAAUGAUUACAACUCGAUACUAGAACAAAGUAUGACUCUAUAUGAAUGCCUCCAGCGGUGUACCGGGAAGGGAAAUGAAUCAAGAGUGACAUGUAUGAAAUAAUAUGCAUGGUGGCUUUGCCACAAAUACGGUGUCAACUACAUGAUCAUGCAAGGCAAUAUGACAAUGAUGAACGUGUCAUGAUAAACAGAACGAUGGAAAGUUGCAUGGCAAUAUAUCUCGGAAUGGCUAUGGAAAUUCCAUAAUAGGUAGGUAUGGUGGCUGUUUUGAGAAAGAUAUAAGGAGGCUUAUGUGUGAUAGAGCGUAUCGUAUCACGGGGUUUGGAUGCACCGGUGAAGUUUGCACCAACUCUCAAGGUGAGAAAGGGCAAUGCACGGUACCGAAGAGGCUAGCAAUGAUGGAAGGGUAAGAGUGCGUAUAAUCCAUGGACUCAACAUUAUUCAUAAAGAACUCACAUACUUAUUGCAAAAAUCUACAAGUCAUCAAAAACCAAGCACUACGCGCAUGCUCCUAGGGGGAUAUAUUGGUACGAAAAGACCAUCGCUAGUCCCCGACCGCCACUCAUAAGGAGGACAAUCAAAGAACACCUCAUGUUUCAAAUUUGUUACACAACAUUUAGCAUGCGUGCAUGCUACGAGAUUUGCAAACUUCAACACAAGUAUUUCUCAAAUUAACAACUACUCAACUAGCACAACUUUAAUAUCACUACCUCCAUAUCUCAAAACAAUCAUCAAGCAUCAAACUUCUCUUAGUAUUCAACACACUCAUAAGAAAGUUUUUACUAAUCUUGAAUACCUAGCAUAUUUGGACUAAUUUCACAAUUAAAGCAAAUUACCAUGCUGUUUUGUAGGACUCUCUCAAAAUAAUAUAAGUGAAGCAUGAGAGAACAAUAAUUUCUAUAAAACAACUCCACCACCGUGCUCUAAAAGAUAUAAGUGAAGCACUAGAGCAAAAACUAUAUAGCUCAAAAGAUAUAAGUGAAGCACAUAGAGUAUUCUAAUAAAUUCCGAAUCAUGUGUGUCUCUCUCAAAAGGUGUGUACAGAAAGGAUGAUUGUGGUAAACUAAAAAGGAAAGACUCAAAUCAUACAAGACGCUCCAAGCAAAACACAUAUCAUGUGGUGAAUAAAAAUAUAGCUCCAAGUAAAGUUACCGAUGGAUGAAGAUGAAAGGGGGGAUGCCUUCCGGGGCAUCCCCAAGCUUUGCCUUUUUGGUGUCCUUAGAUUUACCUUGGGGUGCCAUGGGCAUCCCCAAGCUUAGGCUCUUGCCAUUCCUUGUUCCAUAAUCCAUCAAAUCUUUUACCCAAAACUUGAAAACUUCACAACACAAAACUUAACAGAAAAUCUCAUGAGCCCCGUUAGAGAAAGAAAACAAAACACCACUUCAAGGUACUGUAAUGAACUCAUUCUUUAUUUAUAUUGGGUGUUAAACUUACUGUAUUCCAAUUUCUCUAUGGUUUAUAAACUAUUUUACUAGCCAUAGAUUCAUCAAAAUAAGCAAACAACACACGAAAAACAGAAUCUGUCAAAAACAGAACAGUCUGUAGUAAUCUGUAACUAACGCAAACUUCUGGAACUCAAAAAAUUCUACCAAAAUAGUACGACCUAAAUAAUUUGUCUAUUGAUCUUCUGCAAUUGGAAUCAGUAUUUUAUCACGUUCUGGUGAUUUUUAACAAUUAUUUUUGUGAACAGAAAGUUUCUGGAUUUUUCAGCAAGAUCAAAUAACUAUUAUCCAAGAAGAUCCUAUAGGUUUCACUUGGCACAAACACUAAUUAAAACAUAAAAAAAAUCUAACCAGAGGCUAGAUCAAAGAUUUAUUCCUAAACGGCAAGGAUAAAUAUUGGGCUGUCUCCCAACAAGCGCUUUUCUUUAAAGCCUUUUAGCUAGGCAUUGAGGUUUCAAUGAUGCUCACAUGAAAGACAAGAAUUGAAG
rnacentral:lncRNA from 1 species